rnacentral:lncRNA from 1 species
AGCCACGGUGGGCGUUUGGAUGUGCUUUUAGUUACCACUUUCUCUCUUGGAUUUGCUUACGUAUUGCUCCUUUUGUAUUAGUGGCUCAUGUCCCACCUUGCUUUUGGACUUAUGAGCUUUUUAUAUUUCUGAUUCUUCAAUGUCUAUUGUGUGUGCUCUCCAACCUGUGGUGACUUUUCGGUUUAUUCAUGUGGCUGUUUCUUAUAGGCCUUUCGACCUCCAGUAUUAAAUAAAAGAUCAUUUUGAGCUUUUUAAUUUUAAUUAUUUUUUAUUUAUAUCUCUUCUAAUAUUAAUAAUAAAUAAUAAAAUAUAUAAAUAAAUAAAUGAUUAUAUACAAUUAAUCUUUUAGGAUGAUAAUUAUUUUAAGAUAGAAAAAUAAUAUAUAUUUAUAUAUUGUUAUGAGAGGUCUUUAGUUAUAUGCAUAAUGCACCCUUGGCCACUUGGGAGUUGGAAUUUCAGUAAUUAUUAUUGUGGUGGGUAAAGCUAUAAACUCGGUUUUGUGUAAGUUCAUUUACUUUCUUGAGGAGUCUAAGGUAGGAAAGAGAAACACCUCUUCCAAUGUAAGAAAGUUUUUUAAAACUGGUAUAUUAGUUUAGUUUCAAUCUAAUGCCUCAAUUUUUUUUUUCUUUUCUCCUUGUAUUUUUUAUUCCUUUUCUUCUUAUCUUUCCUUGUUUGCCCCUUCUCUUCUUUCUCUCUCCUUCUAUCCGCCACCAUAGUGCACCGUCACUUGUAGUUGCUUUGGUGGGACUCUACCACAGAAGAAGCAAGUGGAGCGUUGUUUCCAUUACUUUACGGAAAUUCACUUAAUCACAUUCAAUUGGUUCAUUGAGGAAUGAUUGCGGCGUUGUGUUUUUUCUUUCGUCUUUCUGUGUGAGUCAUUUGAGCGGUGCUGCGAAAGAAGAAAAAACUCCGGCGAGUGCCCACUGGUUGUCUGCGGUGGAGAGAAGGAGUGUUGUGCGGAAGAAAAGAAGAGGGGCAAACAAGGAAAGACAGGAAGAAAGGAAUAAGGAAAGGAGAAAAGGAAAAAAAUUGAACCAUCAGAUCGAUGAAAACUAAACUAAGUGUCAAGGGAAACGAAAAGCAUAAUAGCAUGAGUCAAGUUCAAAAAUUAUACAAAGUUUCACAAAGAAGAUCCAUAUAUGUUUCACAUGCUAGAUUCCUUCGAAUAGAUGGCUAUGGGUGAUAAAUUAUAUAUGAAUUGCAAAAUACAAAAAAUAUGUUGCAACUUGCAAGGGAUGCAUCAGUAACAAUUGUUUAUAAGUAGUACUGCCAUCAGUAUCAACUUUAUCAGUAAAAAAAUAAGUUGCAACUUGCAAGGGAUGCACCACCCACUUACAGCUUAAUUAAUUGUCACCGAUAAAAAAAAUGUUUGAUACACAUCCAAAAUCCCUUUAACAUUUAGAUUGAGAAAAAAAUGAAAAAUAUAUAAAAUGAUAAAAUUUACGAUAUAAUAAAAAAAUAAAAAAGUGUGGAUGCAAUAUUUAAAAUAAAAAAAUAAUUUAUAUAUUAUUACUCAUGGAAAACGAGAACUCAAGAAAACCUCGAACCAUGUACUUGUGAAUCCCACCAAUCCCGAUACAUAGCCAUUAAUAUAAGCCUAAAAGGAAACAUCCAAUUACAAGUUGAAUGUUAAUAUAUGCACAGCCACUUACUGCAUACAAGAAGAUGCAAUAGUAACAAGGACGAUUCCAACUUCUCUAUAUAUUCGCGUAAUAGCUUUGUAGCUUCCCAUGCAUGUGACCCACUAGUUCUAAUCCUAACUGAUACAAUUACACGUAGGAAUAUUCACGAGUUGGUAAGAAUCAAAUCAAAUUUAAGGUAAAAUUAAAUUUACAUUAGUUAUAUUUGAUUAGAUUGAUUUGAUUUAAAUUUUGAUUUUUUUAUCAUUCAAAUUAAUUAAAAAGGGAUUAGUUUAGUUGAGUCAAUCAACUAUAAUUAAAAAUUAAAUUGUAAUAUUUUUAAAGAUUUUUUAUGUUUAUUGUCUAUUUGAUAUAAAUAUUUAAUUUUAUAUUAACGCAAGGUAAGCAUAUUUUUGUUUUCAAUAACAUACUAUUUAUAUUUUCUUUUAAAAUAUUUAAUCAGCAUGUUUGCGGACUACCCACAUAAGCCACUUAAUCUGAAAUCACUUUAAUUUACACUUACACAAAAAUAAUGAAUCAAAGAUAAAUAGAGAACUAAGGCUAAACCUAAUCGGAAAAAUCUGAUUGUUGCCAAACACAAACCCUUACCCUUCCCUAGAUCUGCCCUGGUCAUGCCACCGCCCCUUUUACAGACAACUUAUGCUUCCUCCGACAACCAUCAUGCCCCUUUUACACUUCUUCGUCUUGUUUGUAGGAAAAUAUUGGCGAAGAUAUGCUUCCUCCGACCUGCCCUGUGUGUGAUGACUGCUACUUGUGUUUCUUGUACGACUAUUCCAGCGAUAUCAACAUGCAUGGUUGUUGCUAGUUUGUACGUACAAAAUUUAUGCAUUAAUUAUGUUAUAAAAUUUUAGAUUUUUAGUUAUACGAUAAGUAUUUACGAUUGCCAAUUGUGAGGCAAUCAUUCAAUACAUUAAAAUAGAGCCUUGUGCUUGUAGAUGUAGGCUUAUGAGGUAAAAAUAUGCCCACCUGGGAUAUCCUAAAUGUUUUACGGCAAAAUCAAGAUCUAGAUGUUAUUUGAUGAUCACAUAAAGGUGCAACAGUUUCACAACAUAUCAUGCUUCAAUUCACUGGCUUCAUUCAAUUUGGCAAUCAAUUUUGUGCCCAUCUACUCGUUUCAUCACCAAAGAAGACCCCUAUACCUUAUUUUAUUUAUUUAGGUUACCUAAAAGAAAAUUUCUUUGAAAAGACAUGCAACAACAUCACAACAGAGAAGGUUACAUAAAAUAAGAUGAAAUUAAAUAAAAUUUUAUAAAAUGUAUUGUAUCCCCUUUUUUUUUUUAAAAAAAAAGAUCUUUGAGCUUUUCUUUACUUUAAUAUUGCAUUGGAUGUAAUAGAUCAGACUUUUCUAAUAAAAUGAUAAAUCGUAUAAUUUUAUUUAUAAAAUAAAUUUGUCCAUAUUUUUAAAAAUUGAAUUAUUUUUAUACAUUUCCUUUAAAGUAUCUAUUUCAUUUUGUAAUUCAUGUCAUUAAAGUGUUUGUAUCAAAUUGAUUUGGUAACAUUUUCUUUAAUUAGUUACUCAGUUAAGAUAUUUAUAUUAUUAUUCAAAUUUAUUCAAUAAAUAUUAUAUAUAAUAAUAUAUGUAUAAAUCACAAUUAAAAUAACUUUCUAUCACAUAAAUUAAUUUAAAAAGUUUUCAUAAUUUAAAUUUCAAAUUCUAUUUUUAUAUUUUAAUUAUAUUUAUAUAAAAAAUAAAAUAAUGAGUAAAAUACGUAACAUCCCCUUAAUUUUUGCAAAAUUAUAAAUCUUUUGUAUUUUUUAACAUUUUCACUUUUUUUAGCAACCUCCUUGAUCUAUAGGUUAACAUGGUGUAAUAUCCAAACAAUUAAAGAGAUUUAGUUGAUGAAUAUGGAGUGUUGGUAAUAUUUUUAAAAUAAUUAACACAAUUAGUAUAGGAGUUUAAAAAAAGGAAGAGUGAGCGUAAUUUCACGAAACUUCCGGAUGAUAAGUGUAAUGUACUCGGAAAAAUUAAUCUUCUACCAGUUAAAUAAAACUAUUUUUUUUAUCAUGUAUCUUUUUAAAUUGUAUAUGUGUAAAUAAAAUAUAUGUCACUGUUGAUACUAUCUUACACUUUUUAAUUAUGUUAAAAUAUAAUUUACUAUGCAAGACUGACUUGAUUUUAAAUCAUAUGUCAGACUUAGAAUAAGAGUUCGGACUUAUCUCGUGUAAAUCAUCUUAUUAUCUUUUACGUUUGUUUAGAGAUCAUCUGUCUUUUAUCUUAUUCAGAAUAAUGUAGUUCAUAAUUGAGCAUAUUUAUUUAAAAAUCGAAAGGCUGUAUUAUUGUAUUUUAUUCUAGUAUUUUAACAAGUAUAGAAAAAAUAAUUAAUUGAGCAUAUCGAUCCGUUGAAACUUAAAACCUUUUUACCCGCAUGAAUAUGAUUACAUGAGCCCUAUACAAUAUUGUAAAGUCAUUUACCUUGAGUAGCCAUUGCCGGCCACUUUUUUUACCAGCCAAAGAAUUUUAAUUUGAGAAUGAUUACAAAGUACGUACCCAAUCCUUUUACCAAGUGCAGUCUAGUACCCAAAUAUUUUUCCAGACUUCCACUACUAGAAAAAAUAUAUAUUUUAAAUUGACGGUUAAAACUAAAUUGUCUUAAAAUAUUAAAUAUAACAUGAUAAUAUUUUUGUAAUUAAGACAAGAAAAUUGUUUUUAAUGACAUGUAUUUUAAGACAAUUAUCAUGAGCCGUCUUAGAAUCUGAUUGGGUAACAUUGUUAUAAUUAGAGAGUAUGAAAAUGACGACGAUCAUUAACACAAAAUCAUCUUAAUUUUUUAUUCCUGAAUCUGAAAUCCUAGCUUCAAUUCUCCCAUCUAACUAUCACAGUGUUGUCCCUCCCUCGAACUCUCCCUCUUUAGCUCACCCAGUCUCGAUUGUGCCCUCGAACUCUCCACUAUCCCUCUCUCGAAGUCUCCCUCUAUAGCACACCCACUCUCAAUUGCGUACAUUAUUAACUCUUGCACUGUCCUUCACCCACUGUCCUUCGAGACGUCCCUCUCUCUGGUUGUGUACUCAGCGGCAGUAGAAAGUUUGUCUCCGUGGUGUGGCCCCCCCGUACGUUGUGCGGCCAUCCUCACACAGGUAAAAACCUUAUCUUCUUUGUCACUAUUUUAUUUAUUGAAAGUGAAAUGGACUUCCCCUUAUUCUUGAAAGAACAAUCUGGGAGGGAGGGGGGAGUAGAUAUCUCACAAAAAAUGGAGGUUAAUUUUAUGGAAUACUUUGUUUGAGAUUUUUUUUAUUAAGUUGUAAUAAGAAAUUUAUAUGUUUUUGUUUUGGAAUAGAGUUACCUGGAGUUCUUUGGGUGCUGCUAUAUCAUCCUUUUAGCACUAUUUCAUUUAAUAUUGUUCAACGCAUCAACUAGAAUUUGCUGAGGAUUAUGAACCUGAGCCUAGCUUUGUCUGCAUCUUUUGCCAAGGCAGCCAUCCCCAAAAUUGAGCAAUAUUUGUAUAAACGUUCUUCAUAAUCGUCACCUUAUAGCUCAACUUAGAUGACAACAUUGUCUGGGUUGUCGUUUGAACUCAAUGGAGAUGGAGUUUUCUUUACCAUUUCUAAUAAUUAUGACUCACAUUUGUUUUCUAUGUUUUUUUUUGUCAUAUUUGAUUGGCCAUCUGAAUAUGACUUUAUGCCAUUUUCACACUCUUAGCAGUUAUCACCCACUCUUGGUGAAAGCCUAGAUGAGUCUGAUAUCAUGUCAAGAUAGGAGAAAUGAUUAUUUUCCUCGUUUAUAUUCACAAGUGUUUGUACAUUCUUGACAAGUAAAAUGUGAGUAAAAAAAUGAAAUCAUAAAUUGUAAUAAAUCCUAUAAUUAUAAUUACAGUAACUAUGAAAGAAAAAAUCUGUCAUAUCCAAGCACUUGGGAAACCCACCCUUAAAACUUAGCUGCUAAUUAAGUAGGGAAAGCCAAGCCACUUAAAUACUGCACUGAACAUCCCAUAAUACCUUGAGAGCCUUAUAUAAAAAAGUAAAAGUAGGUUUCUUUAUAGGAUUUAUUACAAUUUAUGAUGCAAUAAGAAUUUUCUUCAUUAUCUAAUGAACUAAGGUGAGUGGUGACUAUCACAUAUUCUACUUUGAGAGCCUUAUAUAAAAUUUAGCUAUUAACAACGAAGAAUUGACCACUAGUAUGAAAGCAUUGUCGUGUCACUCUUUUUCAAAUAAUGCCUACCCAAACAAAAAAACACACUCUCUUCCAAUAGGAUUCUUUUUAUUUAAUACAAUAUAUACAGAAUUUUAAAAUUAUUUAAAUGUAGGAAACAAUAACAUUAACAACAAGAUAGGAUAUCUUAAAGAAAAAAGCUGAUAGGUUGAAAUAUCAACUCAUAUCAUGACCCAAUCCACACUCAGACUGUACCGCCAUACGCGUAGUUAAUAAUGUAAUUUACACCUCACUCUUAUGUCGUCAGCUAUUUGCCUCAGCUUAUACGUCAUCAACACUCUUUCCAUUUUAAGUGUUUCAUUUUUACUUUUAAUUUCCCUAACGAUUUGUUUGACGGAAAAGAAAGUAGAAAAAAGAAGAAGAAGAAAGAAAACAUAACUUAUCAAAUAUUUUUUUAUUGAAAAGAAAAUAUAAGAAUAAAUUAAAUGCCAAAGAACCAAAAGAAAACAAUUUAUCAAAUAUUUUUUUUAUUGAAAAGAAAACAUAACUUGUCAAAUAUAAACGAUGAAAAUAUUUUUUUUUAAACUUAAUAUUCCUAAAAGUAAAAUAAAAAAAUACAAAGAACCAAAAGUAAUAUAUAUCCGGAGGCCUAAAUGCCAAAAACAAUCACACAACUAAAACGAAAAGGCACCGUAUGGAUGGGGCAACACAUUCAACAAUUAAUGAUACUCCAAAUUAAAUGAGUAAAUUUAUAAAUGUACAAUCCAUUUUUGUGUGGAUUAGGCGAGGGAAUUAAGAGAGAUGUGAUAUCAUAAGAAAUAUAGAUAUUAAAAAAAUAUAAGAUGAAAGAGUAUGAGUUCUAAGUAGGAUGUAUGUUUAUAAUAAUAAAAUCCAUAACAUCCAAGCUUGAGUGAAACAUAAGACUUAGACUUGGUGUAUAUUUGAAUUAAAGUUGACGAUUUUAAUAUUAUAGUAGUUUUAUUGUAUAAGUUCAAGAAGGACUUUGGUCUUGCUUUUUUGGAAAUUUGAUUUCGAAUAUAAGUGUGUAAACAUACUCUUAAAGAUAACUAAAUAUAUCAUGUGAAAUAAAAAUGAGUUUAUGCUCCAAACCGAGUUUGAAACACCAAAAUAAAAUCCAAACAUGUUGAUAUCGAUGUUCUUAAUAAUCUAAUGCAAAAGAAGCAAAUCCAAGACACAAAAUGAUAACUAAAAGCAUUCCCCAAAUCCCACCAUGGCCAAAGUUGCCAUUAGUAUAAUGUGGCAGCAUGUUGUGCUUAUUAUAAGGGUACUGUUGAGGUAAGUGACGUUGUACUAGAAAUUCAUGUCGAGGACAACACAUCGUGGUAGGACCUACAGAUGGGGUGACAACACAUCUUUAGCAGGACAAUUAAAGAACAGUCGAUGAAGAAAAAUUGAAUAAAAAACAAAAAAGAAUCACCAAUUCGAAACAAAUAGUAUAGCACUGCACUACUAACUGACCCCAUCAACCGCAAGUGGCAAAUGACUCCAAGCCCAAAACGCAGCGAGCAAAACAAAACCACCAGUCCCCCACUAGCUAUAUAUGCAAGUUUACAAAAAGAGACAACAGAUCAUCAACAAAUGGAUGAAAAGUAUAAUAGUAUAUUUAUGAAUCACGAUUAAAAUAUAUUUCUAUUAAUUAAUUAAUUUUAAAACUUUCAUAAAGAAAGAUAUGUUAUUUUAAUUAAUUUGUAUCAAGAUUAUUAAAAUCAAGAGUACUUGUGAUAAAAUUUCAUAACAGUCCAUUUAAUAUAAAAAUAAUAUAUAUUUAUAUAUAUAUAUAUAUAUAGUAUAAUAUUUUAACAAUAUAAUAAAGUAAAAUAAUAAAUUUUAAAUUUUAAAAUACUAAAAUAAUAAAUCAUAAAUUUUAAAAUGAUAACUUACUAAUGUUAUAAUAGUAAUAGAUCAUUCUCAUCUUGAAUUUGAUAUUAUUAAAAAAUAAUAAAAAUAUAUUAAACACUAAACAAACAUAAAAUAAUCUAAAUGAUUUAUUGUUGUUAUUAUGAAUAAUUAUCAAUAAAAAAUAAAAAAUAUGAAUGUUAUAUUUUAUCUUCUUAGCUUUAAUGGUAGUUUUAUGCAGUUUUAGAAUAACCUAAUUAACUUUUAACCCUCUUACAAUUGAAAAUAUGAUUCUUAUUUCCUAAUUUGGCCCAGCUAUGUGAACAUCCCUUGGCAGUCCAGUCCUACUGGGUGUUAUCUUUGUAUUUAAAGAUCAUUGUUGUUAUAAACUAUUAUCGAUGAAAAAUAUGAUUGUUAUCUUUUAUCUUCUUUUUAGCUUUAAUGGUAGUUUUAGAGUAACCUAAUUUUUAAGGCUCUAACAAUUGAGAAAUAGCAAUAUAUAGAGGAAGAAGAGGGUUAACUUGCAAACAAUAUCACUUGCAUUCAAUUCCACGAGCUUCCUCUCCAUCUAUCCGUCGUCGAAUGCAGUUUUUCUCUUCCAAGAGGGAGGCGGCAAAAGCCUUAAUAAAAUAUUUUAUUCUAAUCUGAUAAUUGAGAUGGAUCAUUUAUCUUAUACAAAAAUAUGAGAAUGAGAAUAAUCAAAUAUCAAAUAUCAAAUUUAUCACUGUUUUAUGGUUGAUUUUGUCACAACUAUCAUCCUAAUUACAAAAAUGAUCAUCUCAACUUUCAAUGUAGAUUAAAUUUUUAAAAUAUUUAAUUUUUUUGUUUUGUAUAUAAAUUUUAUAAUCAAAGAAAUUUUAAUUUGAAUUUAAAAUAUUUUCAUUUUAAUUCAACGAUGAGAAUGAUCUUUCUCACGUGAGAGAAUCAUCUCAUAUAAAAUAUUUUAUAUAUAUAUGGAGCUUAAAUUUAUUAUAUGUAUCUAAUAAACUAUUAUUUUUGUUUUUUAGGUCUUUAAAUAUUUUUUUUAUAUUUGAUCAAUUAUAUACUAAAGUUUUUGUUUUCAAUUUCUCUCUAUUGUUGAAAAGGUGUCACGUAAAAAAAAUGAUAUAUAUUAAUCCGAUGGAACUAAUAAAGUAUUAAGAAGCUAAAAUAAAAAUGUAUUAUUUUAAAGAUUAUUUAAAAGAAAGAAUAAAGCUCAAACCAUGAAUAUGAUGUUUUACGAAUUAACAAUACUAAUUAAGAAAAAGAAGCUAUAAUUGCCGGAUUGUGCCCGCAAUGAUUGUGAUAGUAUAUUGAUAUAUUUUGGUGAAAAGGUAAAGAAUAAGCAGUUGUGGGUUGUGAGUUGAUUUAGUUUGCGUUGGUGAGGCAAAUUUCUCCAUUUGGGAUACUUUUAAAAAGUAUUUCCCCAGAUGGGGUUCUUUUGCUUUUAUUUUUGGCAGGGGGCACUUUUUUACGUGAACAGUGUGUCAUGCAGGACCCAAACCGUCAUUGGCAAUGGCGAGUUUGGUGUCACUGAGCAAGUCGCUUAUGGCACUGGCGAUAUGUGCCUAAACCGCCAUUAGAGCUGGCGAUUUGUACAAGCCAUAGGGAACCGCCAGUCAAACUGGCGAGUUCCAUGGUCUGACGCUGCAGCUACGCCUUUUCCAGUUGCAAGGUUGCAGGAGGUGACAGAGGUUGCAGGAGCUUUAAAGGGGAGUUGCAACUGCCAUUGGCGAGUUGCCUGGAAGUUGCAACUCCCAUUGGCGAUUUAGGGCACAAAAAAUAGCCAUCACCGGUGGCGAUUUUAUGCUUAUAAAUACGUUUCAACUGUAUGUUUUCUGAAUGCACAAGGAGUAACAGAAAUAGCUUAGACGAAGGAGUAACAGAAAUAGCUUAGACGAAGAAAGGCUUUGAGUUUUCUGAAUGCACAAAGGAGUUUUGAGUUUUUUGAGUGUUUAGGGUAUAGUUUUUGAGUUUUCUGAGUGCUUAAAUUUAUGUCAGUGCAGGCUUUGAGUUUUGAGUUUUAGAAUGUAUAGUUUUUAGUAAUUCUUUAAUUAAAUUAGUUUUAUAUUUUUAUUUCGUAAUGUCCUGUAAAAUAAUUUGUAUUAUUAUGUUUUUAAAGUAAUUUUUUGUAGCAGUUUCAAUGUAUAGUUUUUAUGAAAUUUUUAAUUAAAUUAGUUUUAUAUUUUAUAUGAUUGUUUCUGUGUAAAAAUAGAAGAAAUUUGUCAUCAUAUUUUUAAUUGGUUUGAAAUUUGGUUCUUGAGGGUUAAAUUUGUGAAUGAGGUUCCUAAAUUUUUUAGACUAGUUUGAAUUUAUAGUUGUUAAUAAUUUUUUAAUUAAAUUAGUUUUAUAUUUUAUAUCCUUUUUUAUGUGUAUCAAAUAAAAGAAAUAUGUCAUGAUAUUUAUUUAAAGAAAAAUUUUUAGUCAUGAAAAUUUUUUGUAAAUAUGAAAUUUUUAGUAUAUUUUUAAUUAGAUUAGGUUGGUGUUGAUAGUUUGUUAAAAAUAACAUGUUCUUAUAUAUAUUAAAAAAAAUUGUAAUUGAUAAUACGUUCCUUUUUUGGAAGUCAAAAUAAUACGUUCCUUUUUCGAAAUUAAUAAUUUGUGUUAUAAUUUUAUGUAAGUAAUUAUUUAUAACAGUUUGAAUGUAUAGUUUUUAUUAAUUUUAUAAUUAAAUUAGAUUUAUAGUUUAUUUUGUAGUUUCCCGUAAAAUAAUUUAUAUGAUAAUUUUUUUAAGUAAUCUUUAAUUAGAAGUAGAUUUUUGCUUUAAAGUAAUUUUUUUUAAGUAAUUUUUUUAUUUAUUAGUUUGCAGUAAAAUAAUUUGUAUCAUAAUUUUCUUGUAGUUAUUUUUAAUUAAAACUAGAUUUCAGCUUGAAGAAUUUUUUUUUAAGUAAUUUUUUUUUAUUUCUUAGUUUCUAGUAAAAUAAUUUGUAUUUGUAUUAUAAUUUUUUAAAGUAAUUUUUAAUUAAAACUAGAUUUCAGCUUUCAAGUUAUUUUUUGUAAGUAAUUUUUUUUAUUUGUUAGUUUCCAGUAAAAUAAUUUGUAUGUUAAUUUUUUUAAGUAAUUUUUAAUUAAAAGUGAAUUUAAGCUUUCAAGUAAUUUUUUUAUUUCUUAGUUUCCAGUAAAAUAAUUUGUAUGAUAAUUUGUUUGAAGUAAAUGUUUAAAUAAAAGUAGAUUUCAGCUUUAAGGUAAAUUUUUUGAAGAUUUUUUUUUAUUUCUUAGUUUGCAGUAAAAUAAUUUGUAUCAUAAUUUUUUUAAGUAAUUUUUAAUUAAAACUACAUUUGAGUUUUCAAGUAAUUUUUUUUAUUUGUUAGUUUGCAGUAAAAUAAUUUGUAUUAUAAGUUUUUUAUGUAAUUUUUAAUUAAAAUUAGAUUUCAAGAAGUAAAUUUUUUUAAGUAAUUUUUUUUAUUUGUUAGUUUGCAGUAAAAUAAUUUGUAUUAUAAAUUUUUUAAGUAAUUUUUAAUUAAAACUAGAUUUCAACUUUGAAGUAAAUUUAUUUAAGUAAUUUUUUUAUUUCUUAGUUUGGAGUAAAAUAAUUUGUAUUAUCAUUUUUUUAUUUCUUACAUUUUACUAUUUUGAAUUUGUUAUGAAUAAUUAAUUAAAAUAUUGUUUUUGUAGGUACAUGAUGAAUUCAGUUAUAACAGUAUUGUAUUUCAAUGGAAGGGUAUAUGAAGAUAAUGAUGAUGUAAUAUUUGAAGGCAGCAAAAAAGCGAUUCAGAUUAAACGUGGAAUUAGUUUCAAUGCUUUGAAGAAAAAAAUUGGAGACAAGGUAAAGUUAGAAAAUAAUGAAAUUAUUUCUGCUAUCAGUUGUAGAUUUUUAGUGUUAGGAAAAUAUAUUGCCUUGCAAAUUUGCGAUGAUGAAGACGUUGAAACGAUGCUGGAAAGUUUUAAACAACAACAAGAAAUGUCAGUUCUAGAAUUGUACAUAGAAAAGGAUGUGGCUGGUGGUUCAAUGUUUCAUUCUGCAAACUCCCUUACAUCAUGUGGAAUUAUGUAUCUAAUNNNNNNNNNNNNNNNNNNNNNNNNNNNNNNNNNNNNNNNNNNNNNNNNNNNNNNNNNNNNNNNNNNNNNNNNNNNNNNNNNNNNNNNNNNNNNNNNNNNNNNNNNNNNNNNNNNNNNNNNNNNNNNNNNNNNNNNNNNNNNNNNNNNNNNNNNNNNNNNNNNNNNNNNNNNNNNNNNNNNNNNNNNNNNNNNNNNNNNNNNNNNNNNNNNNNNNNNNNNNNNNNNNNNNNNNNNNNNNNNNNNNNNNNNNNNNNNNNNNNNNNNNNNNNNNNNNNNNNNNNNNNNNNNNNNNNNNNNNNNNNNNNNNNNNNNNNNNNNNNNNNNNNNNNNNNNNNNNNNNNNNNNNNNNNNNNNNNNNNNNNNNNNNNNNNNNNNNNNNNNNNNNNNNNNNNNNNNNNNNNNNNNNNNNNNNNNNNNNNNNNNNNNNNNNNNNNNNNNNNNNNNNNNNNNNNNNNNNNNNNNNNNNNNNNNNNNNNNNNNNNNNNNNNNNNNNNNNNNNNNNNNNNNNNNNNNNNNNNNNNNNNNNNNNNNNNNNNNNNNNNNNNNNNNNNNNNNNNNNNNNNNNNNNNNNNNNNNNNNNNNNNNNNNNNNNNNNNNNNNNNNNNNNNNNNNNNNNNNNNNNNNNNNNNNNNNNNNNNNNNNNNNNNNNNNNNNNNNNNNNNNNNNNNNNNNNNNNNNNNNNNNNNNNNNNNNNNNNNNNNNNNNNNNNNNNNNNNNNNNNNNNNNNNNNNNNNNNNNNNNNNNNNNNNNNNNNNNNNNNNNNNNNNNNNNNNNNNNNNNNNNNNNNNNNNNNNNNUUAUUGACAGGCAUGAUCAGAGAAGAUCCAUCGAUAAAAUUUCAUUGAUUCAAGAGAGGAUUAACAGUCAAUUUGCGUACAAGGUGUCGUACAAAAAAGCUUGGUUGCCGAAACAGAAAGCCAUUGCUAUUGAAUAUGGUGAUUGGGAUGAGUCAUAUGCGAAACUUUCGUCGUGGCUAACACACAUGCAAAAUCAUUCUCCUGGAUCGUAUUUUCAAAUACUACAUGACGAUUUUAUCGUUGGAAAUACGGUUAGUCGCGAACACCGCCAAUUUCAUAGAGUUUUCUGGACUUUUGGCCAAUGUAAAGAGGCUUUCAAGUACUGUAAGCCAAUCAUACAAGUUGACGGCACACAUUUGUACGGCAAAUACCGUGGGACCCUCUUAAUGGCCACAUCACAAGAUGGAAAUGGUGGCGUCCUUCCUCUAGCAUUCGCGGUGGUUGAAGGUGAGACGUUGACAGCGUGGUCAUGGUUUUUGGCACACUUGCGUGAACACUUCACUGAUAAAAAUGUUAUUUGUCUCAUAUCUGAUCGACACGCGAGUAUAAAGUCCGCUGUCGCUAACGAAGCACUUGGUUGGCAACCUCCCCACGGUUAUCAUGUCUACUGUGUGCGACACAUAGCAAGCAACUUCAAUCGAAAAUUCAAUAAUGCCAAACAAAAAGAAAUGUUGAAGAAAUUGGGUAAGAUUUCAUAUUUGAUGGUCACGUUUAUUUUACUUUCAUUUAUACUUAAAAUUGUUAUUCAUAACUAAUUUUAUGCAGCCUACACUCCAUGCAAGCACAUUUUUUAUCAAAAUUUAGAAAAAUUUCGUGAACUGAGUCCAGCCAUAGCAACAUGGAUUGAUCGCAUCUCAAAGGAAAAAUGGACGAUGGCUUACGAUAGAGAAGGACGUCGAUAUGGCCACAUGACAACGAACCUCUCAGAAUGUAUCAAUAAGGUUUUAAAGGAUUGUCGCAACAUUCCCAUAACAACAUUGGUGAAAUCAACGUACAGUAGGUGUCGAAAGUACUUUGUUGAGCGUGGCCGCCAAGCCCAAAGACAGUUAAAUGAAGGCCAAGUAUAUUGUUCAAAGCUUGUUAAAGAACUGAGGAAAAAUCAAGAACAAGCUUGUACGCACAUCGUUCGCGUGUAUGAUAUCCACUCCACAAGGUUUGAAGUAGAGGAGAGCUUCAACCCUAUAACGCAACGUGGCGGACAAAAGUGGGCAGUAAACUUGAAUGAUCGUCAUUGUCAAUGCGGAAGGUAUUCUGCGCUUCACUAUCCAUGUUCACACAUUAUUGCAGCUUGUGGUUACGUGAGCAUGAACUACUACCAAUAUAUAGAUGUUGUUUAUACAAACGAGCACAUCUUAAAAGCUUACUCCGCACAAUGGUGGCCUCUUGGGAAUGAAGCGGCUAUUCCUCCUUCUGAUGACGCAUGGACACUUAUCCCCAACCCAACUACAAUUCGUGCGAAAGGUCGGCCAAAAUCAACAAGGAUAAGAAAUGAGAUGGAUUGGGUCGAACCAUCUGAGCACCGAACAAAAUGUAGUAGAUGUGGAGCUGAAGGGCAUAACAGGCGUCGCUGUCCAAUGCAAUCUGAGCGUGGGAGUUGUUCAAAUCGUUGAUUUAUGUAUGUUAGUUGAGUGACUUGUAUUUGUUUACGUUUUGUUCAAUGUAUUGAAUUUCUGGGGUUCAAUGAAUUCGGUACUUAAAAACAUUUUGCCUUUUGUACAUGACUUAUUUGUGGGGUUCAAUGAAUUCGUUAGUUAAAACCAUAAACAUAAACCGUAAACCUAAACCACUAACCUCUAACCCUAAACCCAAACCCCUAACCUCUAACCCUAAACCCCAAUUUUUGAUUACUACCAUUACUAACCCAUAACCCCUAACCCUAACUCAUAACCCUAACCCUAACUCAUAAAACUAACCCAUAACCCCUAAACCUAACUAGUAAACCCUAAGUAGUAAACAUAACUCAUAAUCCCUAAACAUAACACAUAAACCCUAACCCAAACUCAUAGCCCUAACCAUAACUCAUAAAACUAACCCAUAACCCCUAAACCUAACUAGUAAACCCUAAGUAGUAAACAUAACUCAAACCCUAAACAUAACACAUNNNNNNNNNNNNNNNNNNNNNNNNNNNNNNNNNNNNNNNNNNNNNNNNNNNNNNNNNNNNNNNNNNNNNNNNNNNNNNNNNNNNNNNNNNNNNNNNNNNNUAACUCAUAAACUCUAACCCUAACUAGUAAACCCUAAAAUUAACUCAUAAACCUAACCAUAACUUAUAAACCUAAGUAAUAAACCCUAAACUUAACUCAUAAGCCUAACCCUAACCUAUAACCCCAACCCUAACUCAUAAGACAACCCCAUAAUCCUAAAACCUAACUCAUAAACACUAAGUCAUAAACCUAACUAAUCCUACAAAUAACUUAUAAACCCUAACCCAAACUGAUAACCCUAACCCUAACUCAAAACCUUAAACCUAACCCUAAACCCUAACACCAACUAAUAACCAUGGCCCUACCUCAUAACCCUAACUCUACCUCAUAACCCCUAAGUCCUAAAACUAACUCAUAAACCCUAACCCUAACUUUAUAUUUGUCAACUUUAAUUUUGCUAUAUGACUAUAUUUAUUAUUGUAGUUUGAUGCGCGACAUAAAAGUAGUCAUUAUGGUGUCCGUGAUGGUGAUUCAAUAACAAAUGGUGAUAAAAAACACAAAUUCCAUAACAAGUACAAUGAGAUACCAUAAAUUAAGUUUGAAAUUCAAAUUACAGACAUACAAAACAAAUUUGAAAUAGAGACAUCAAAAUCAGUCAUCAUGGGGUCCGUGAUGGCGCGAGGAUGUGCCACAUGGUCGAUCCCACCUUCGGGCUUGACGAUCCGGAUUUCUUCUUGCGCGCUGUCUCCGCCCUUGNNNNNNNNNNNNNNNNNNNNNNNNNNNNNNNNNNNNNNNNNNNNNNNNNNNNNNNNNNNNNNNNNNNNNNNNNNNNNNNNNNNNNNNNNNNNNNNNNNNNNNNNNNNNNNNNNNCAUUGGGGCAUCAUGUUGCUGCGAAGGGGUCAUGGUCGGCCAUGAAAAAUGAGGUUGUGUUUCCGCAACACCACCAAACGAAUGUUCGCUUGCAGACAUAUCAGUGCCAUGGCCUUCGAAAGGAUACUGAUACAUCUGCGAAGGAUACUGAGCAAAUGUUGGUGGCGUGUAAUACAUUCCAUGGCCACGCUGCUCCAUAUUUUGGGAAAAAUCUUCCGCUUGAACAAUCUCCCUUCGUCUGUCAAAACCUCGAGUUUCAACACUUGACUGAAGCAUGUGAAACUGUUGUGGGGGAAAUCGACGCUCUGAUGCUGGACCAUGUGCCACAGGCUCAGUGAUCCUCUCUUGCUCUUGGGAUAAAAUCGCUAACUUUUCCACGUAUGGCACGAGAUCAUCAACUGUCCAUGUGUUUCGCCCUUGUGGUGACACCAUAUACUGCAAUGUCUCGGUAACUUCACCCUGCAAUUAUUAGGGUAUGGAAAUUAAUGUCGAUGCUUUAAAAAGUUAAUUGAAGUUAAAUAAUUAAAAAAGAAAUAAAUACCAAUGUAGCCGUGUUUGCAUUGUUUGGGUCGAUAAACAUUUUUGUUUUGCUCCUAUACCACACCAUGUAAUCCGAGUUAAAACUCAAUAGGCCCUCUUGUCGAGCAUAAACGUCGACCCUAAACUCAGCUCGAUUAUUCCACUGACUGAUAAAUGGGGCCAACAGCUGGAACCAAUUUUCAUCCAUUUUGCCUUUCAGUGUUAGCCCGUGGACAUUCCAUGGUUGCGAAGGAGACUCCGGAAUAGGUUGUUGCAUUCCAAAUUGUCGCAACACUCUAUCCGGUUGGUGCCACUUUACAACAUGGAAACAAAUGAGUGGCACCACUGCGCACCACGCCAUACUGCCAAACCAAACAAAUGGGAGGCAAGAUCGACAUAAACAGUUGCUGUGUAAGGCUCCCACAGAAACUGCAUACAAUAACACAACUGUAAUUUUAUCUUAAACCAUGACAUUUUAUUUAUUAUUUAACAAAUACAUGAUGAUCUUCUUACCUCAUGUCGUUUCAUGAUAUCCAAUUUGCGACGGAAAACUAUUAGAUCAUCAUUGCCAAUAUGUUGGUUUCCACGUCGCAGCCACCUACAAAAAAAUAUGAAAUAAUUAGUGCCGAUGCAUUACAUUAUUAAUUAUUUUCAAAUGAAUUUUUUUAAAAAAAAAGUAACCUGUGUCCGAGUGGUUUGUUUUCCAUUAUAGGAGGAGUUCUCUUUGGAGCCAAAGUCGUGCAGCGUUCCCAUGCCCACAUUUGGAUUAAGAUGCACAUACCUCCGAUUGAUUUUAUUUUGUAAUCGGUGGCGCUGCACAUCUCUCUGUAUAAAUAAGCAAGCACGACAGGUCCCCAUGCAUACGUGCUGCACUGUUCAAAGUUCCGUAAAAAUUGUAGAUACCUUAGGGAAACUUUACUUCUACUUUUGUCAACAAAUAGAACUCCUCCUAUGAAUCUGAGGAUCCAUGCACGGGAAAACCUUUGUAAUUGUUCUACACUACCGUCAUGGAUAUUAAUUUCUGAAAAAUGGUGAGCCAGCCAACUUAAUUUGACCACACCGCCUUGAAGUUCACCUUCCUGUGGUCUGACUCCCAAUAAUUCUUCACACAAUUCAGCCCAAUCAAGAUUAGUCUGACCAAUUAAUGGUGCCCCUUUAGUAUGAAGACCUAACAAGACUGAUACAUCUUGAAGAGUAAUCGUAGCCUCUCCGCAUCUCAAGUGAAACGUGUGUGUCUCGGGCCUCCAUCUUUCAAUCAAGGUUGUAAUUAAUGAAGAAUUAAUUUUCAGGUACCCCAUUUUCAUUAUCCAAUAGAAUCUUGAUUGGCGAAGCAGAGAAAUAAUUUUCUCUGGUAUUUCUUCUUGUCCUUGAUACAUGGGUACAGCUCGUCUGAUAUGUAGUUUUCUGUCUACUUCCCCAUUCCAAACAUGUUCGGAAACAUGUUUAGGUUGCAGCCAUAAGACGUCUCCUUCUAUUGGACCAGACUUAAUGUGUAUACUAGAUGAAGAUGAUGACAAAGAUGCCAUUGAUGCUGUAAAGUUAAAUAUAAUACAAAAAAUUGACAACAAAAAUUUUACAUUAAAAAAAUUAACAAAUUUAAUAGGUACACAAAUUUAAAUAAAUGUUCUAAAAUACUCUACAAAUAACAAAAUUGCAAAUUUAAUAGCUACACAAAUUAAAAUAAAUUACCAAAUUAAAAUACAUAGAUUUGUUACACGUACAAAAAUUUAACACAAAAAAACAUAAAAUAUUACCUAAAAUAGUCUACAAAUAAAAAAAUUCAAAAUUACAUACCUACACAAAUUUAAAUAAAUUACCAAAUUCAAAUACAUAACAAAAUUAAAAAUUUAAACACCUACAUCAAUUUUAUACAAAUAAACUUAAAAUACUACCUAAAAUAGUCUACAAAUAAUAAAAUUACAAAUUAAAUAACUACAAAAAUUUAAAUAAAUGACCAAAUUAAAAUACAUAACAAAAUUAAAAAUUUAAACAUGUACAUAAAUUGUAUACAAAUAAACUUAAAAUACUACCUAAAAUAGUCUACAAAUAAAAAAUUUAAAAAUUAAAUAGCUACAAAAAUUUAAAUAAAUGACCAAAUUAAAAUACAUAACAAAAUUAAAAAUUUAAACACAUACAUAAAUUGUACACAAAUAAACUUAAAAUACUACCUAAAAUAGUCUACAAAUAACAAAAUUAAAAAUUAAAUAGCUACAAAUAUUUAAAUAAAUGAUAAAAUUAAAAUACAUAACAAAAUUAAAAAUUUAAACACGUACAUAAAUUGUACACAAAUAAACUUAAAAUACUACCUAAAAUAGUCUACAAAUAACAAAAUUAAAAAUUAAAUAGCUACAAAAAUUUAAAUAAAUGACCAAAUUAAAAUACAUAAUAAAAUUAAAAAUUGUUACACGUACAUAAAUUUUACACAAUAAAACUUAAUUUACUAACUAAAAUACUCUAUACAUAACAAAAUUAAAUAUUAAAAUACGUACAUAAAUUUAAUUAAAUGAUCAUAUUUUUUUUCCAAUUAUUAAAAUUUAAAUUAAAUAACAAAUUUUAUACACAAAAAAAUGGUAUUAAUUCAAAAAAAUUUCAUGGAAUAAAAAAUUUAAAGAACGUAUUUUAAUAUAUAUAUAUAUAUAUAUAUAUAUAUAUAUAUAAUUAAUAAAAUAUCAUAUAUUUCAAUAAAAACUAUAAAUAAGUUAAUUAAAUAAUAUUCACAUUCUAACUGAACCUAAAAUAUCAUAUAUAAAAUACAAAUAAUAUCAUACAAACCUAAUAAAUCUAAACCAAAUAAUAAUAACAUAAUAACUAAAAUUAACCUACAAAAAAUUUUAUCACAAAUAAUAACAUACAAAUUUAAAAAAUCUUAACAAAAUCAUAUUCAUCAAUUCACUACAACUAACGUACAAAUCAUAAUAUACCAACUCAAAUUUGUAACAUAACUAACCUAACAUAUAUCUAUAUAUAUAACGUGUAAAUCAUAAGAACCUAACUUAAAUCAUAAUAUAUCACUACAAUUAAAGAAAAUAAUAAAUAUCAAUUUAACUAUAACUAACCUAACAUAUAUCUAUAUAUAUAACACAACUAAUAACAUAUUAUUUUUAAAACCUAACUUAAAUAAUAUUAACCUACCAACUAGAGUUACCAAGUUAAGAAAGAACCACUUACCAAGUACAGAGAAGUCACGCGCAAUAUGAAGAGGAGAAGAUACAAACCACAGCCCUACAAACAUUAAUAAAAAUGAAGAACGCAGUAAAUAUUUAUAUAUAUAUAUAUAUAUAUAUAUAUAUAUAUAUAUAUAUAUAUAUAUAUAUAUAUAUAUAUAUAUAUAUAGUAAAUAUUUAGCAUUCAAAAAUACUUACCAAAAACAAAAAACAGCAACAAAAUGAAGAACACGGGAGAAACUUAUGAAGAACAAGCAAAGAAGGAAGUGCAGCUGUGCUCUCUCGGAGAUCCAGGUUUUAUAAUGGAAGAAGCAGUAACGAAGGCAACCCGCUAGCCAUGCUGGCGAUCCGUGUGUGUCGCAAAUCGCCAUUACCAUUUGCGAUUUGGCCACUGACGCGCUCUGCUUCACUGCUGCACUGCCAUGGCAGGAACUAGGCUCAGCUAUUGGAACUCGCCAGUUUGACUGGCGGUUCCCUAUGGCAUGUACAAAUCGCUAGCUCCAAUGGCGGUUUAGGCACGUAUCGCCAGUGCCACAAGCGACUUGCUCAGUGACACCAAACUCGCCAUUGCCAAUGGCAGUUUGGGUCCUGCAUGGCACACUGUUCAUGUAAAAAAGUGCCCCCUGCCGGAAAUAAAAGCAAAAGAAUCCCAUCUGGGGAAAUACUUUUUAAAAGUAUCCCAGAUGGGGAAAUUUGCCGCGUUGGUGAUGCCAGCCAAAUUGAUGCGUCAAAGUGACAAAGAAAGAGGGAGUGAUGACGGAUGAUGUUGGAAGUCACGCCAAACUCAGACACAAAUAUUUUAUUUUUUUUAUUUGACUUUUCCUGGUAUCUGAUUUUAUAAUAUUUUUGUGUUAAUAUUUAAUGAUAAUAUUUAAUUUUAAAAAAUAUAAAAAUUAUAUAAUUUUAAAGGAACCAAAACAUGAAAGGGAAGCCAAAUCCCUUUUGUUUGGGCUAAUAAAACCGUUUUCUUUGAGUAUGUGUUAUAGAUAUAAUAAACUGAGACAGCAAUGAUUGAUUUUGGAAAGUAUAACUUGCGGGUGGACCGAGUAUGUGUUAACUUGCUGGUUUUAUAGAGUUAAUAUAAUAUUUAAGAUAUAAUAAAGUAUAAUCAGCAUUUAUGGUAUAAACCUAGUCAGAAUCACUUUUGUUCUCGUCAUGCAGUAGCAUACCUUUAGGCCUUCUAAUAAAAUGGUAAAUAUUAUUUUAUCCGUAUAUAAUACAUUCGUGGUUGGAGGUAGACACAAAUAUUUUAUUUUUUUAUUUGACUUUUCCUGGUAUCUGAUUUUAUAAUAUUUUUGUGUUAAUAUUUAAUAAUAAUAUUUAAUUUUAAAAAAUAUAAAAAUUAUAUAAUUUUAAAGGAACCAAAACAUGAAAGGGAAGCCAAAUCCCUUUUGUUUGGGCUAAUAAAACCGUUUUCUUUGAGUAUGUGUUAUAGACAUAUUUUUCCCAUAAUUUCUUACAAAAAUAAAUCACUCAAUAAGUGUUUGCACCCAAGUACUCAACCUAUUUAUAUUUAGCACUCAAUAAAGAUUUAUCUUUUUUAUCUUCAUCUUUAUCUUUUAUCUUUCUUAUCUUUUAAUUUCCUUAUUUUAUUUUUUAUUUUUUAUCUUCAUCAUUUUUAAUUUAAAUCUUUUAUAUUUUUUAUCUUUUAUUUUUAUCUCUAAAUCUUUUAUCUUUUUUUUUAAAAUCUUCAUCUUAUCUCCAAUCUUUCUUUGUUAGUUAUUUUAAAUUUUUUAUCUCUUAUUAAUAAUUUGAAUUUAUAUUUAUUUAAAUAAAAACAUAAUCUUUAACAUUCAAAUUUCUGAGUAUCAAAUUUGAUCCAUUUUUUAAUGAGUUAACAAUCCACUCAUACAUUAUAAUUAUUCAAUUAUUCCCUUAAAAUUUAGCUAUUAACAACGAAGAAUUGGCUACUAGUAUGAAAGCAUUGUCGUGUCACUCUUUUUCAAAUAAGGCCUACCCAAACAAAAAAACACACUCUCUUCCAAUAGGAUUCUUUUUAUUUAAUAAAAUAUAUACAGAAUUUUAAAAUCAUUUAAAUGUAGGAAACAAUAACAUUAACAUUAACAACAAGACAGGAUAUCUUAAAGAAAAAAGCUGAUAGGUUGAAAUAUGAACUGAUAUCAUGACCCAAUCCACACUCAGACUGUACGGCCGUAGGCGUAGUUAAUAAUGUAAUUUAGACCUCACUCUUAUGCCGUCAGCUAUUUGCCUCAGCUUAUACGUCAUCAACUCUCUUUCCAUUUUAACUGUUUCAUUUUUACUUUUAAUUUCCCUAACGAUUUGUUUGACGGAAAAGAAAGUAGAAAAAAGAAGAAGAAAGAAAACAUAACUUAUCAAAUAUUUUUUUAUUGAAAAGAAAAUAUAAGAAUAAAUUAACUUCUAAAAACAAAAAUUUAAUUUUUUUUGUUUUUUUUUCUAUUUAAAUUUUAAAAUUUUCUUUCCUUCCUUAUUUUCCUCCAAUCUAAUUAAAUAUACCAUAAAAAUAUAAACUCCAAACCACAUAUUGAUAAAGACAAUCCGCAAUCCAGGUUUAAUUUAUUGAUAUCUGGGUCUUAAAAUAAGGGUUAAGAAGUGAAAAAAGAAAAUGAAACUGUUCUUUAAAAUUAUAACAUUAGAUAUAUAGAGAACGUUAAAUAUUAAGUUUUUAAUAAUUUUAAACAAUAAAUAUAAAAUAAUAUAAAAACAUAUAUAAUUACUUGAAGUAUGUUCAUUAUAUAUUUUUUAAAUAAUUUUACUUUUUAUAUUUUAGGAUAAAAUAUGUAUUUAUCUCAUUUUAUCUUAAUUCCUAUUUUUUGAUCCUGCAUAAAAAAAUAUAGCGUUUUAGUCCUUGUAAAUUGUUCUAUUUUGUUUUAGUUCAAACAUAAUGACGUUAAUAUAAUAAAGAUAUAAAGAAAGAAUUUUAGUAAAAUAGUGAAAAUAAAAAUUUAACAAAUUAUAAACUUAAACGUUAUAUGAAAUAACAUUUUACUCAGUCCCUUCUAGCGUGGAAUUCGCAACAACAACCCUCAGUCAUCUUCCUCUAUAUAUUACUCCUCAGCUCUUACAUUUAGACGCACACAAUUAUACAGCUCUAGAGAAUCAAGAAAAUUAUUAUACCCAUUAAGAUGAAACCGUACCUACGUCCAAUAUUCCUAUUAUUCCUUAUCCUUCUCCACCAAUCCAUUUCGGCGAGUGCUUCAAAUAGUAGGUUUAUAGAAUUCUUUUCAAAAUUAAAGAAUUCUUUUAAUCCUAAGUCUGAAGAACUCAAAUCAAAAGAUAUAAAGAAGCUCCCGAGCGUCGAAUAUUUGAAGAAGAUACAUGAGGGAGUUAAGGACUUAUCUCAAGAUUUAUUUAUCCCGAAAAUCCCGUUUCUCAACCCGAAAAACCCGAAACUCCCAAGAAUCCCGCUAUUUAAAUCUCCCCCACCGCCAAUGUACCGUUUACAACUAAAGUCCGAUCCCCCACCGCCAAUGUACCGUUUACAACCAAAGUCCCCUCCCCCACUGCCAAACGCACCACCGAAGCAAAUCAAUAUUAAGGGCCUGUCCGUCGUCAAAGAUUACUUAUCUGACUACGGCUACAUUGAAUCCUCUGGGCCAUUUAACGAUUCUUUCGAUCAGGAAAUAAUAUCAGCCAUUAAGACCUACCAGAAAUUUUCCAAUCUUCAAGUUACCGGCGGCCUGAACAAACAGCUUAUUCAGCAAAUGUUGUCCAUACGAUGCGGUGUCCCCGACGUUAACUUCGACUACAACUUCACCGACGACAACAUUUCCUAUCCCAAAGCCGGACACCGCUGGUUCCCAAACAGAAACCUCACAUACGGUUUUCUUCCCGAAAACCAAAUCCCAGACAACAUGACUAAGGUGUUCAGAGAUUCCUUUGCGAGGUGGGCCCAAGCCUCGGGGACUUUGAGUCUCACGGAGACAACCUACGACAACGCCGACAUCCAGGUAGGGUUCUACAACUUCACUAACUCGAGGAUUGAAGUGUAUGGUGGCAGCCUUAUAUUUUUGCAACCGGAUUCUAGUAAGAAAGGGGUGGUACUUCUGAACGGUAACAUGGGCUGGUUACUUCCAAGUGAAAACGCCACACUGUCUAAAGAUGAUGGAGUUUUGGACUUGGAGACUGCGGCGAUGCACCAGAUAGGGCAUCUACUUGGACUUGAUCACUCUCACAAAGAGGACUCUGUUAUGUAUCCUUACAUAUUGUCCUCACAGCAACGAAAGGUGCAGCUUUCCAAUUCUGACAAGGCCAACAUUCACCUUCAGUUUGCUAAGCAUGAUUAAGAUGUUCUCUGCUGCCAAACUCGCAUGACUCAGCAAGCCACGGUGGGGGUUUGGAUGUGCUUUUAGUUACCACUUUCUCUCUUGGAUUUGCUUACGUAUUGCUCCUUUGGUAUUAGUCGUUCCUGUCCCACCUUGCUUUUGGAAUUAUGUGCUUUUUAUAUUUCUGAUUGUUCAAUGUUUAUUGUAUGUGCUCCCCAACCUGUGGUGACUUUUCGGUUUAUUCUCACGUGGCUGUUUCUUAUAGGCCUUUCGACCUCCAAUAUUAAAUAAAAGAUCAUUUUGAGCUUUCUAAUUUUAAUUAUUUUUUAUUUAUAUCUCUUCUAAUAUUAAUAAUAAAUAAUAAAAUAUAUAAAUAAAUAAAUGAUUAUAUAGAAUUAAUCUUUUAGGAUGAUUAUUAUUUAAAAAUAGAAAAAUAAUAUAUAUUUAUAUAAUGUUAUGAGAGGUCUUUAGUUAUAUGCAUAAUGCACCCUUGGCGACUUGGGAGUUGGGAUUUCAGUAAUUAUUAUUGUGGUGGGUAAAGCUAUAAACUCGGUUUUGUGUAAGUUCCUUUACUUUCUUGAGGAGUCUAAGGUGGGAAAGAGAAAAACCUUUUCCACUGUAAGAAAGUUUUUUAAAACUAGUAUAUUAGUUUAGUUUCAAUCUAAUGGCUCAAUUUUUUUUUCUUUUCUCCUUGUAUUUUUUAUUCCUUUUCUUCUUAUCUUUCCUUGUUUGCCCCUUCAAUUCUCUUCUUUCUCUCCCAUCUAAAUUUGUCACUAAUUAACAAAUUUCUUAUAUUUACAAUCACAUAUAAAUGAUACAUAAAAUACUGAUAUAUAUUGUCAUAUACAAUUCCAAUAUGAACAAGAAGAUAAAUUUUAAAUAAAGAUAUAAUUAUUUUAUUAGCAGUAAUAUCGAGCAUAAUAACACAUAAUGUGAAAUUCUUAAAAAUAUUUAUGUUCGACAGUAUGAAAAAAUAUUAAUGAAAAAUUUAAAGAUAUAAUGGCAAACAAAAGAUACUUUUUCAUGAAAGAAUAUUUUCAACUAGAGAAAAAUAUGAUUUAAAAUACCUAAUAUAAAAAAAUAAUGCUAACAAGUAUUCUUAGAAUAUUAAUUAAAAAACUUAAAAGUAAAAAUAUUUUUAUCGUGAAAUAAAAAAUUGUUAUUCAUAAUCAUAUUUUUAUAUUCUUCUAGAUAAAUAUUUUUUUUCCUUAACCAAUAUUCUUAUAAAAUACUGGUUUGUAAGACCUUAUAGAAAAACAUAUUUUAUUUAUUGUUAUCAAAUUAGAUUGACUCUAUAUAAAACCUUUGGUUGGGUUUUAGGACUUGGUUUUACUAUUCUUUAACUAACCUCCUCUCCCAAAGCAUCCUAUAUAUUUAUUUCUCAACUCUUAUACUUGGACUCAGUUAUUUUUCUCGGAGACCAAGAAAUUAUACCCAUUUCCAUCAAGAUGAGAGCAUACCUUUGUGCAUCCUUAUUCAUUCUCCUUGUCGAUAAAUUAAUCACUUUCGGCUCCUUGUGUCCUUCCUUCAACAAUGGACAAUAAGUUCUCUCCCACACAGACAAACGAACCACCGCCUUUUCUUACUUCGGCUUCCUUCAAUCCUCUGGUCCAUUCAACGAUUAUUUGGACGAGGAAACAAUAACUGCUACCAGCAAUAUUUCAAUCUGGAAGUUACCGACUACCUAAACGACAAGACGUUUCAGCAAAUCUCGCUGCCGCGAUGUGGCGUCCCUGACAUGAAUUUCGACUACGGCUUCACCGGCAACGUGUCAUGGCCGAAAACCAGGAACCGGUGGUUCCCGGAGAGAAACCACCUCACCUACGGUUUUGAUCCGGCAAGCCAUAUCCAACCCAACGUGAAAAAGAUUUUCAGAGAUGCCUUCAAGAGGUGGGCGCAGGCCACCACAGGGGUUUUGAGGCUUACGGAGACAACCUAAGACAAUGUCGACAUCAAGGAAGGGUUCAGAAUAUUCAACAAUAUUUGGGACCAGGUAUUUAGCCUAAGCUUUAUCAUACUGCAACCUGGCUCUAAUGUCACGACAGGGGACAUACGCCUCAAAGGUGCCAUGUUAUGGUUGCUGCCGAGUGAAAACGAGAGCCUGUCGUGGGAGGACGGAGUUUUGGACUUGGAGAGUGCGGCGAUGCAUCUUCUAGGGCUUGACCACUCUAACAAAGAGGGCUCUGUUAUGUACCCUAACGUAUUGCCAUGGCAGCAACGAAAGGUGGAGCUCUCGGUUUCUGAUAUGUAAAACAUUCAGCUUCACUACACUAACGGCAUCUCUAGCCACAGUGGGCGUUGGGGAGUGCUUUUAAUCAAUAUCUUGUCUCUUGGAUUUGCUUACGAGCUUCUUUAAUUUUGUAUUGGUAUUUGGGUUUAUGAGCUUUUGGGAACAAUUUCAUGACUGUUUACUUGAGUAUAAUGCAUGUGUUCCCCAAACAAUCAAACCCAUAUCCGUCAUAUUGUCCAAAAUUAUUUAAUUUUUUAAAUUGGGAUUGGGAUCAAGAAAGGAAAUAUCAUUAUCCCUCUUAUAUUAUAUUCAUUCUGGUAUUCACUCCAAUGAAUUAUUAAAAUUUUAUGAAUUAUUUGUUAGUUUUUUUUUUAUAUAAAUUUUACAUAAUUUAAAAUUAUUUUCUUGAUAAUUUUUGUAAACAGAUAUUCUACAAAUACAAAUAUUUUAAAAUAAAUAUGUAAUAAUUAAUUAUUUUUAAAUCAAAUUUUUAAUAUAAUUUUUUUUUAAAAUUUAAAUUGGGAACGGGACACCCAAUAAAUAAUGAACAAAUUUUAACUCGUUAAUUAUAAGUUAUCGAAUACAAAUACCAGUAUAUAUUAAAAAAUUGAGGUUAGAGAGACUUAGAAGGCAAUAUCCAUCCUAACCCCGCCCGGUCCGGUUACCUUGUCUACCCCCAACCGUGAUUUAUUCAGUUAUUGCAUUAACAAAAGAUUAUCCACUAUUGUAUGAAUUUAAUUAUAGACCAUUAAGCUGGCAUAACUUUUAAGUCUGGUUAAUAUAAGAAAUUAAAAGGGUGCGUGAAUAUUUACUACAGAUUCUGGGCUGUAAGUAAUGUGAUUAACCAUUAGUUAUACACGUACCUUAAAAGAAAAUACUCUGGGAGCCAGAACAAAUUAAAUCUUACUAUAUAUUAACUACCCUUUUUUAUAUUUUUAAUUUUGGAUAAAAAUAUUUUUACUCCAUCUGAAAUAUGGGAAAUUUAAAAUUAGUCUCUUUAAAUUUUUUUGUCUCAAUGUCUCUAAAAUUUUAACAUGUUAUUUCAUUUAGCAUGUUAAUUAAUUUGUUACUAAACAAUGUAUCUAACACCUUAUGAUUACCAAUUUUUCAUUUUCUGUCAGUUCACCCUGACAUUUUUUCACUUUCUUUGGCCAUUCUAAGGGAUUCUUGGAGCAUCAUUCACCUCUUGAUCAUGGCGCACUUGAUGCCUUGAUUUUUUGGAGGUUUAAAAUGCAUGGGCUAGGAUUUUUGAAGAUCAAGAUUAUUGUCACCUAAACACGUGGUUUUCUUUUCUAUUUCUGCCAUCUUAAAAUACUUUUAUGCUUGUAUUUAUUGAUCUUAGUUUGGGGUUUGAAUUUCUUUUUAUCAUGACCAUCUAAGCUUAUAUUAUGAGGGAUGUUGUGACUUGAAUAUUAUGAAUUUUUCUAAUGUGUUGUGUAUAUUUGUCUUAUUGUACUUAAUUUUGAAUUUGGGAAUUGACUUUAAAGUGUUAAUUAAUAGACUAAUUAGUAACCAUCCAUAGAGACGUUCCCUAAUGUUCCAUUCAAUUAAUUAUAUUUUUAGUAGUUUUUAACCGGUGAAGUUCAAAUAAUUAAGACGAAAAAAAUAGCAAAAGAAAUAUAUUAAAUGGCCACAAACAUAGGGACCGUGCUUUGGACACAAUGGGCUCGCAUAUGGGAUUUAGAUGGGGUUGCUAGAUGCAUCCAUUCUUAUUUUUCCAAUUUUACUCUUCAUUCUCGCAGAAGAUGUUCUUCUGUUAAAUUGAACAUGUAAUUUUUAGGUUGUUAACACAACGUUCUAAUCAAUUAAGUUAAUAAGUCAAUUAUAUUAUAAAAUAGAUAAUGUUAUUAUACGUAACAAAAAAUAUUUGUUAUUAGAAAAUUUAAUAUAUAUUAAACUUUGUAAUGGUAAAUAUUUUUUAUUUUAAAAAAAAUAUAUAAACUAAAUAAUUCGUAUGAUUUAUAUCAAAGUUAAUCGUAAUAAAAUUUAUUAUUUAAAUUUACUUGCGUAUUAAAUAUAUAUUAUAAAUUUUAGUGUUAUGUAUAACAACAUUAUUUAUUUUAUAACAUAAUUGAUUCAUUAACUCAGUUGGUUAAAACGUUGUGCUAAUAACCUGAAAGUCAACGGAAGAAUUUCUUCGGUAAGAGUUACGAGUAAAGGGCAGAGCAAAAUUAGAAAAAUAGAAAAAUACUGGAUGCACCAGAAAUACUUAUGGUGCACCUAGCAACACCCUUUUAGAAGGUAGCUUAUGAUAUUGUAUAACAUUUUGAGCAAAUGCCUCUUGUGCCUUGAGUCAUAUUUUUUUUUCUUCAUCCUUCUGUUUAUUAGAAAAAAAAUAGAUUUUAACUAAUAUAGAAUUUGGCUAAGAAGUAAACAAAUUUUUGUUAAAAAUUAUUUUUCUUUCACGAUCGAACUCAAAUGAUUUAAUUUUAUUUUCAACACAUUAAUCAUUUUAUUUUAUGUUGAAUAAUUUGAUUUCAAGUCAUAUGUUCUUAUCAAUUCUUAUCAAUGAAGUUUUCUCAUAUGUUAAAAAAAAGCCCCGAAAAUAAAGAAGGCCAAAAAAAAGAAAGGGCCUUAAUAAAUGGAGAUAGAAAAAAAUAGUGAGUUCAUACAAGCAAGCCUUCGGUGAAUGCCACUAUAUCAAUCCAGAAAAGUACGAUUGCUCGAAAGGAUAAAUAUAUUUAGAUGUCGAAAAUACUAUUAUACACCUAUUAAAAAAGAGUGAAUUUUAUAGGUAUAUUAAAUAUAUGAUGUGAUAUGAGAAGAAGAAGAAGAAAAAAAAAUUUUAAAAAACUAUUUAAAAUAAUGGAGUAUUCAAAAGCAACAUAUUUAGUACUGGAUCCUUUUUCUCUUUGAAGAGAAUGAGCUUGAGAUUCACUUAUGAUCCUUGUGUUUAAAUUUAAUCCGUUAGUCACGUUUGAAUCAAUAACUGUUGUAACAAUAUUUUAUGUCAAACCAAAAAAAUUACUAGCCGAGUCACGGACAAUGUCGUUUUCUUUAAGACGUUUCGUGGCACUGCCAAAAAAAUGUGCAAGCAGACUAUCAACCACGACGUCUCCAGGAUAAAACAGUCCAGAUCACUGUAUAAGAUUCCCACUGCACUGAGGGAACCUUUUCUAGAAUUACACUCUCUUGUAUGACUUGAAAAGUCACUCCAAAGCCACCCGAAAAUAUGACUUGAAAAGUCACUCUAACAGCCAACCGAAAAUAUGACUUGAAAAGUCACUCUAAUAGUCAACCGAAAAAUAUGACUUGAAAAGCCAUUAUUAUAGCCAACUGAAAAUAUGACUUAAAAAGUCACUCUUAUAGCCAACCGAAAAAUAUGACUUAAAAAGUCACUCUUAAAGCCAACCAAAAUUUUAGAGCGACAGAAAGAAAGAAGGAGAAGUUUGCCGGAAAUGUAUCGGCUGAAAUAUGGGAGGGAGAAAGAAAAGUUGAGGAAAUGCUUCUCAACUGGGGCAAGGAAAAAAGAAGAAAUGAGCUCUCUAUAUAUAGGAAGUGAAACACUAUUCAAGUGUUUAUCCUAAGCGAUGUGAGACUUGAAGCCUUUUCUUUCUUUUUUUUUUUUUUCAAACUUUCAUCCACAUUCUCCUUUGUUCUAACAAUCCCUCACUUGAAAUUUGAAAAGAGGAUUUUCGAGGAUUUCAUAAAAUUGUGCAUAAACAAAGGUGUCAUACAACUUGAACCUUUGCAUAGUGAGUAAGAUUCAGAUUUUACUAGAGUGACUCAAAGUCUUGAACUCUAUCUCCGACAUCAAACCACACAUAACCUUUUCAUAUGUGUAUUCUAUAAAGCCCGUGCGUUAAAUGUCAUGCACGUCUAUCCCGGUAUAGUAAACGCUCUAGAAAUUUUUGUCCAAAAUUUCAUAUGAAGCGGCCCCAACUUCAACAUUCACAUAGGUGAGUCUAUCAAGAGUACUCCUGUAGCCUAGGUGCUCCACUCAACGUAGAGUAUAGAUCUCAUUAAGAAUUAUGAAUUUUUUUUUUCAUAACUCAUCCUCUUGUUACUUCAGGAAUCAUGCUGCUUUCACUUAUAACAACAUAUUCAUCUCAUAUCACUUCAUAACUUGUUAUUACCCAUUGAACCUAGUCUUGGGAUCUCCAGUCAUUUAGGUCGGGUUACCAUCAUGAAUGAUCAUCAUAGUAAGGGCAAUAGUCCCAUUGUUUUAGAAGUGUUAUGGACUUUCUCUUUAGCUAAUCCUUUCGUCAAAGGAUCUGCUAAAUUAUCAUCAGUGCGUACGUGAUCCACUCUAACAACUCCUGUUGAGAGUAAUUCUCUAACAGUGUUGUGCUUACGACGUAUCUGUUGUUUCUUACCAUUGUAAUAAUGGUUCUCAAUUUUUUUGCAAUAGCCGCGGUACUAUCGCAAUGGAUCAACACAACUGGUAUCGGUCUUUCCCAUAACAGAAUCUCUGCAAGUAAGCUUCUCAGCCAACUUGCUUCCUCACUAGCAGUUGCUAGUGCUAUCAUCUCAGAUUUCAUAAUGGACUGAGCUAAGAUAGUCUGUUUCUUUGACUUCCAAGAAACAACCCCACCAGCUAUGCUAGAUAUAUAGCCGCUGGUUGCUUUGGAAUCAUUUGAAAGAGUGUUCCAAUCUGCAUCACUGUACCCUUCAAGUAUAGCGGGAAACCUUUUAUAAUGUAAUCCAAGGUUUAUGGUUCUUUUAAGGUACCUCAUUACCAUUUCAAUAGCGUGCCAAUGCUCCAUACUAGGUCUACUGGUAAACCUGCAUAAUAAUCCCACAACAUAGGCUAUGUCGGGUCUAGUACAAUCAAUGGCAUACCUAAGGCUGCCAAUGAUACUCGCGUACUCAGUUUGUCGUAUACCUUCACCAGUGUUCUUAAACAGUUUUACACUUGGAUCAUAUGGUGUACUAGCAGGUUUACAAUUAAAGUAGUCAUAUUUCUUUAAGAUCUUCUCAAUGUAGUGAGAUUGAUCCAGAGAAAUUCCCUCUUUUGACCUAGUAAUCUUAAUACCAAGGAUUACACUUGCUUCUCCGAGGUCUUUCAUAUCAAAGUUGUUACACAACAAUGAUUUCACAUCUAAUAGGUUUGCAGCUAGGAGGCCCCUCUACUAAAUGUUAGGUCUUGUUAGAUUCUAAAGAAUCCAUCUCAUUAUUAAUGGCUUCUUGCCACAAGUCAGCAUCCAAAGAAGACAAGGCUUCUUAGAGGUUUGAUGGAUCCUCCUCUAAUGUAUAGGUCAUAUAAUCGGGCCCAUACUCUUUAGCAAUUCUUGCUCUCUUACCUCUUCGAGGCUCUAUAUCUGGUUCUGGUUGUGCAAGAUUUUCACUACUAAUAGCAGGAAGAUAACUAGAUGAAAUACCCCCACUAUUCCUUAAUUUAAAAGAAAAUCAGAAACCAGAUUCUUUCUCAUCCCUGAAGUAUGCAUCACAUCUUUGAGAAUCAAAGUCUUUCUAGAGGUAAACUUCAGUUCAACAUCUCCAGUUCCAGCAACAAUAGUGGUGUGGGAAUCACCCAGCAACACUUUCUUAUUUUCACCAUUCAUGUAUGUUUUAAUCAUAGCACGAUCAUAGCAGACAUGGCGGGAGGCGCCAAUGUCUACCCACCAUCCAUCUGAUCCUCCAAUCAUAUUGAUUUCUAUUAUCACAGCUAUGUAUGGCUCUUAAGUCAUGUUAGCCUAGGGAGCACCUGUCAUUGAAGGAUUUCUGCAUUUACGUGCCAUAUGUCCCGGUUUGCCACAAUUGUAGCAGAGUAAUGGCUCACCAGGAUUAUUCUUGGCAGGUGGAUGCUGUCUAGCAUGUUGGACCCUUGGGGGGUUCUUGUUGCGGUUGGAGGUAUUGCUCACAUUGCGGUUCUGAUUCUUAAAGUUUUUGCCAAUAGGCUUCAGAAUUGCACAUGUGUUCUUCCUUUUAGUGUUGUUGUGAGACACAACCAACACUUCAUCUUUCUGAUCUUGUCUGCGUGCCUCUUCCUCAAUGCGCAGACGUGUGAUCAGAGACUCCAAAGAGAAUUCUUUGGUCUUGUGUGUGAGAAGGUUUUUGAAAUCCUUCCAGCCAGGAGGCAAUUUGUCUAUGAUAACAGCAACCUGAAAUUGCUCAUCCAAUGUCAUACCCUCUAAUAUGAUAUCAUGAGCAACUUUCUAUAUCUCAUGGGAUUGAGACUCUACUAAUUUAUCAUCAAUCAUUUGAUACUUGAGAUAGCGACUAACAACAUACUUUUUAGUCUCAGCUUCCUCAGUAUCAUACUUCUUUUUCAAAGCCAGCCAAACUAAUUUGACAGACUUAUAUGGGCUAUAAUAAUCAUAAAGAUCAUCAACUAACCCAUUCAGAAUGAAAUUCUUGCAUAGGUAAUCAUUUUCAUUACAGAGAGCUAAUUCCAUAGUCAUUUUAUCCUUCACUUCCUUCUCAACAUCUUUAGGCAUCACUGGAAUAUUAAUGUUCAAAACAUAGGCAACUUUUUUUCAUAGAAAACAUCAUCUUUUGUUUCCAACGUUUGAAAUGAUACCCUUCAAACCUAAAAGGUUUGUUGAGGUCAUUGUUGUUCGAGCCAGUAAUAUCUACGGUAUCCAUAGCAGAACCAAAAUCGUCUUAAAAUUGUUGUAACAAUAGUUUAUGGCAAACCGAAAAAAUUACUGGCUGAGUCACGAACAAUGUCACUUUCUUUAAGACGUUUCGUGACACUGCCAAAAAAUUGUGCAAGCAGCAGACUAUCAACCACGACAUCCCCAGGAUAAAACAGCCAAGAUCACAGUAUAAGAUUUCCACUGCACUGAGGGAACCUUUUCUAGAAUUACACCCUCUUGUAUGACUUGAAAAGUCACUCUAAAGCCACCCGAAAAAAUGACUUGAAAAGUCAUUAUAACAGCCAACCGAAAAUAUGACUUGAAAAGUCACUCUAAUAGCCAAUCGAAAAAUAUGACUUGAAAAGUCACUAUUAUAGCCAACCGAAAAAUAUGGUUUAAAAAGUCACUCUUAAAGCCAACCAAAAUUUUAGAGAGACAAAAUGAAAGAGGGAGAAGUUUGCUGGAAAUGCAUCGGCUGAAAUAUGGGAGGGAGAAAGAAAAGUUGAGGAAAUGCUUCUCAAUUGGGGCAAGGAAAAAAGAAGAAAGGAGCUUUCUAUAUAUAGGAAGUGAAACGCUAUUCAAGUGUUUAUCCUGAGCGAUGUGGGACUUGAAACCUUUUUUUUUCUCUUUUUUUUUCAAACUUUCAUCCACAUUCUCCUUUGUUCUAACAAUAACUUAUAUAUUAGUUCGAAUAAAAUUAGACUCGGUUUCUAUAUUUAUUUUUUCAUGUGUAUUUUUUUUAUUUAUUAAAAAGUUCUAGCAUAGGUUCCAAAUAUAUUAAUUUUAUGACUUACUCAAAAUAGUUUUAAAUUUAAAAAAUAACUAUUUGUUUUUAAUAAAAAUGUAUAAAAAAUUAGGGGUGGCAUAAGAGAAAGUUCUAGCAUAGUAAAAAAAAUAAUUAAAAAAUGGUUUUCUCAUGAUGCAUAAGAAAAUGUCCCUUAUGCAUUUUCUUAUGAUCGAUUGAUUAGUUGGUGCAAACAAAAAUGAGAAAAAAUGCUCCACAAAAUAAUUCAAGCAUGUAUUUUUUAAAAAUUUCUUAAAAGUUCUAGCAUAGUUCCAUAUAUAUUAAUUUUAAUUAUGACUAAAAUAGUUUAAAUAUAAAAAACUGUUUAUCUUUUAGAAAUAUCUUUAAAAUAAUUAAACAAAUAAUAAUUUAAGUGAAUAAAACAAAAACAAAAGUUAUAAAAAAUAAUUUUAAAAGAUUUUUGUGGAUAAAUGAGACGGGGUAUUUUGAAAUAAUUAAAAAAUAUUUAUUUUUUAAAAUACUGUAAUGGAUUAAUUGGAUAUUCGUCCAUAAAAAUGAUAAUUAAUGCAUUUAUUAAAUUGAUCAUGAACACAUUAACUUUGUUUUAUGAAUUCUGAAUGGAUAUUGAUAAAUGAAAUUGUGGUAUUUUUGCUAAUGAUAAUAUUUUUGCUCAUCAUUAUAUGUAGUUCAUCUCUCUUCUAAGAAGGUAAAAAGCUAUGCUUUGUUUGACAUGUUGUGGUAUGGUCUACUUUGAUUAUGCAUAACAAAAUUGUGUUUCAAGGCGUUUUCUUUUGACUUUAAUGGUGUUUUGGACUUGAUAAAAAAAGUUGUUUUGUAGACAUGGUAUGAGACUAAGAUGAGCAAUACUCUCCGUUCUUUUUUAAUUAGUGUAUUGAUAAUGUAAUUUAUCUUUAUUUGUUCCUUUGGUCUUGCAUUAAUUGUAAUACAUAUGUAUAAGGAUUGGAAUACCCAUUGUACUCUUUUUCUUAAAAUAAAUAAAUAAAACUUUGCUUUUAAAAUAAAUGUUAGUCGCACUCUCUUUUUAAUAUUUUCUCUCAUACCAUUAGCUGAAAAAAUUAACAAUUUUGGUGAGAUUUUGUUUCUUUUAAUGAGGUCUCUCUAUCUAUCUAUAUCGAUUUAGAAAUGAAAUCCAUCCAAAUUGAUGACAUUUUAUAAAUUUCAAGCAAUGAUAAUAGAGUAUUAGAAAAAGAGUGUCAAUUUUUUUUGCUAAUAUUCCUUAAAAAAAUAAGAUCGUAUGAGUUUUUUAGGUAGAAGCACUUUGGACAUUUAUUACCAAUCCAACUUUAAUUGUUUUUUUAUUUAUUAUUCAUUACGGUGUAUUUGGAUCAACUGAAAAAAUUAGGUUAUUUUAAUAUUUGAUUAUAUUAAUAACAAUUAUUGGUAUAAUACAUUAUAAUCGAAUAAGUUUUUGUUUGAGUUUGUUUCUUGAAAACUUAUAUAUUUUAAGAUAAUUAUUUUUGUAUGGAUGAAAAAAAUAAUUAUCUUUUAAGUAAGAAAAAAAAACUUUAAUUUUACAAAAUUGAGUUGUUGUUCAAAUUAUAUAAGAUUAACACAUUAUAAGAAAACUAAAGUUUUUAAUAUACCGAAUCGUCAUUCAAAUAGUCUUUUCUAUCCAUGUGGAGAGUUAUAAAAAUCCUAUUAAGAAAUAAAAAAGCUCCCGAUUGAAAAAGAAUAAUGAAAUCACUUAUAUCCAUGUAAAUCUUGUCUCCUAUCUCUAAAAAUAUGAAGAAUUUUUUUAAUUAUUAUUCAAAAAAAUUUCUUCUAUUAUUUUCUCUUGUAUUAUUCACUAAAAAGACUAUAAUAAUAACGGAAUUACGGUUAGAGAGUAGAAAAAAAAGGAUUCAAGGCUAACACCACCAAGGAAAAAAAAUAAUCCUUUCUAUUAGAACAUCUAAAAAGUUUUUUAUAUGAUUUUUAAUAAAAUCGAAAAAUAUUAAACAUAAACAACACAUCAGGAAACAUCCUCAAAAAUUUUGAGUAAAUGAAUGUUACUAACAAGUAGAAAUAAUAAGAUUUCUUUUUUAUCCCAUUUAUCUAAUUCAUUAUGUAUAAAAAAGCGAUCAAUAACUUGCAUACUUAUACUCUUUCAUAUUUCUAUUUGAAAAAUUUUCUUAAUAUUAACAUUCUGGAACAAAUCUUAAGAAAAAUGCUUAGAUUAGAUAUCAUUUACGAAUUGAGAUACAUUAUGUUGUUUAAACAAUUAUUAUGGAUUAAAAUAUUUCUAAAAUUUUUCAUCAUAAUUUGACAUAAUGUAUUUAUGAUGAUUAUAUUAGUAUUUUAUAUGAAAUUUCCUAAAAUUACCAACCAUUUAUGUUCACAAUUGAGCCACAAUUAAAGACCAAUAAAAUUUACUAGAACAAAUAACGUAUUUGUUAGAUUUUAAACUACAUAUUGGGUCCAUAUAUUUCUAAGCACAAACAAACUAGUACAAAUCCAAGUUGAAUUGCAUCAAGAUUUCUAAAAGGCUAUUAGACAAUGAAUAUAAUCAUUAUUGGCCUUGGCGCUUAUAAUUAUACAAUAAAUAUGAACUUAGCAGACAAUGAAUAUAAUCAUUAUUGGUCUUCUUAAAGUUGCAGUCUACAACUGAAAUCAGCAUACAUGUAAAAUGAAAAUUAUUUUUAACUUCAUUAAAAGAUGAGGAAACCAGAAAUUCACCUGGUAGAAGAAACUACUAAUGUAUAGAAGCAGAACAAAUCUGCAAAAAUGAAACGAAAGCUUGAGUAUGUUGCUGCAUAUACCAUCAAGAAUGAACAGUUAACAUGGCCUAGUGUCAUGAAUAAACACUUAAUCACCCAAAGAACCUAGAAGGAGAACAUAUGAGAUGGAAAUUAAGUCAUUUACCUUUCAACAACCAAGGUCAUGCCAUAAGUUGCUAUCUCAGGUAAUUUCCCGAAGCUAUCAUUAGUUCAUUACCAAACUAUUAAUUUCAUUGACAUAUGUCUUGCUACCAGAUUUCAUGUAACAAAGAUUUUAAAAGCCUUAUAAAAAGCCAAGAUUGCAUGUGAAUCAAAUCGUAAAAAGGGUACAAUUCAAUAGUUUUGCAAAAAUAUAAUUGUAAUAGCUACAACAUCACAAUACUUCAAUUUCAAACAUGAAAUUAAACAUAUGACUUAAAACAACACUAAAAUUCUUUAUUAUAAUAUGUGGAGCCUCAAAAAAAUAAUUAAAAAGAAAUUACUUCUAUAUAUUGCUAGGAAACAGAAUCAUGAUUCCUCUAAAUCCAAGCUUUCAAACCAUUUUAUAUCCUAUUUAAGUCAAAUCGUUAAAACGUAUCUUUGUAUCCAUUUUAUGAAAGUGAAAAUCAUCUUUAAAAUAUUAAUGCUUUAGGCUAAGACAAAUCAUCCCCAUUUUCAUUGCAUCGGUUGGAAAUCAUUGUAGCACCCGGCCAUAUCAAAUAAAUUAGUAUGUAAAGCACUAUUUCUUCCUACUUAGUCUAACCAAAAUUAAUUAAAAUUAAUAGGAGAUUUGUUUUAAUUAGAGUUAGAGUCCUACAUUACAAAUUGAGAUUAUUUGAUUCAUUAAUAAAUUUUAAGAGCCAAACAUUUCACAAAAUUAAUCUUCUGUGUUUAACCCAUGAUAACCGAUAAAUAUGGAUUAUUUUUUAUAAUAAAAAUAUAUUAAAAAUAUCUUUAAAAUUAUUUAUUUAAUAAUUAUUUUUAGCUUAAAUAUUAUAAAUUGAUAUUUUUUCUAUUUAUAACUUACAUGUAUGAAAAAGAAGAAUUAAAAAAGAAAAAAAGAUUAAAAAAUAUAAAAAAUAUAAAUAAGAAAAAUGUUGACAUUAAACCCAAGUCUAAGGAAAACAAUCACGUUAACAUUCCUAAGAUUGAGAACUCUCUCAACCUAUUUUUUUUUGUUAUUUUAAAUUUAAUUUCUUAUCUCUUGUCUGUCAAUUAAAUUUAUAUUAAUUUAAGUAUAAAUAAAAUUAAUACUUAAAUUUUUUAAUAUUUUACUAUUUAAGAUAAUUUGAUGCAUUUAUGAAUGAGUUACCAACCCACUCAUACACUACAAUUAUUCCCUUGAAAUUCAGCUAUUAACAAUGAAGAAUUGGCCCUAUAUAGUAGCAGAAGUGGAUAUAUACCGAUAGGGGAGGAUAGCAAAAGCCAUUCAAAAACAAAGAAAAACAUAAUAUGUAGCUUUAUCCAUGUAUUAGGAUCAUAUUCGUGUAGCAUUAAAAGAACAAAGUUUUUUCAGUGACAAACUCCUAAAAGCAUCAUGUCAAAGCCGUAGAAUCAACGAGCAUCCCAUAAAUAAAAAUAAAUAAAAUCACCAUAUUCAUGCACAAUUACACGUAGAAAUUAAUAAAAUCUUGUCCCCCGACAUCCGUACAACAAGAUAACGAAGAAAAAUCUGGUUGAAGUCUACCAUAAACCCAAGGCCUUCAAUCCAAAACAUAUUGCAUUAAAUCAGGAGUUUCAACUUUCAAGCUAUUAAUCCAAUUAAGAUUUUAUAUCCUUUUUUUUAAUAUUCAACUUGAGCUAUCUGUCUCCAUUAUUAAAUCUUUAAAGUUCUGAAAAUGAAAAUUCAUCAUCCCUAUAGAACACAAAAUAAUACAGAUAGACAAGUGCAAGUUAUUACACAAAGUUGAUAUUCAAACUAUACAAUAAAAAGAGGAUCGAAUGACAAUAAUGAGAGUGAUUAAAAAAAUAUACAAAUUCAAGGUCAUGACAACUCUGAUUCUGUGAAAAGGGAAGUCCAAAUGAAUGAAGAAUAAAAGACACUCAUUACCUAGUGUUUAGUUAACUUUCUGCUAGAAAUACUCUUACUUCGAGCCACAUCAGGUGCCAACUAAUUCUAUUUCUGCUCUGAGAAACUACCAUAAAAAUUUGUUUGGGAAUCCACAACCCUACCACCUUUUUCUGCAAACCCCUAAUUGAAAAGAGAGUAUAAUAAACACAAAAAGCUUGUGGGGAAAAUUAAAAGAGAGGGAGAGGGAGAGGGAGAGAGCACGAGAGAAAAAUUAAAAGUAAAAUAAUAUUUUUAGGAUAGUUGUAAAUAUUGUAUCAUGUACCAUAGAAAUGAUUAUAAAUGUAUCUAGAUUCAUGUACUUGUCCCUAUAAAAGACUAAUAUUUUUAACAGAAAAUAAAAAAAAAGAGUUAAAAUGAAACCAUAAAAAUUUAAAAUAAAACUUUUAAAAUUUGAUAUACUAAAUCAGAAAAGAAAAAUACUAAAAUAUAAACGAUGAAAAUAUUUUUUUUUAAAACUUAAUAUUCCUAAAAAUAAAAUAAAAAAAUACAAAGAACCAAAAGUAAUAUAUAUCUGGAGGCCUAAAUGCCAAAAACAAUCACACAACUAAAACGAAAAGGCAUCAUCUGGAUGGGGCAACGCAUUCAACAACUAAUGAUACUCCAAAUUAAAUGAGUAAAUUUAUAAAUGUACAAUCCAUUUUUGUGUGGAUUGGACAAGGCAAUUAAGAGAGAUGUGAUAUCAUAGCAAAUAUAGAUAUUAAAAAAUAUAAGAUGAAAGAGAAUGAGUUUUAAGUAGGAUGUAUGUUUAUAAUGAUAACUCCUAAUACUAUUCUUCCUAAGCUCAUAAAUCCAUAACAUCCAAGUUUGUGUGAAACAUAAGACUUAGACUUGGUGUAUAUUUGAAUUAAAGUUGACGAUUUUAAUAUUAUAGUAGUUUUAUUGUAUAAGUUCAAGAAGGACUUUGGUCUUGCUUUUUUGUAAAUUUGAUUUCGAAUAUAAGUGUGUAAACAUACUCUUAAAGAUAACUAAACAUACUCUUAAAGAUAACUAAAUAUAUCAUAUGAAAUAAAAAUGAGUUUAUGCUCCAAACCAAGUUUAAAACACCAAAAUAAAAUCCAAACAUGUUGAUAUCGAUGUUAUUAAUAGUCUAAUGCAAAAGAAGCAAAUCGUAGACAGAAAAUGAUAACUAAAAGCAUUCACCAAAGCCCACCAUGGCAAAAGUUGUGAUUAGUAUAUAAUGUUGGAGCAUGUUGUGCUUAUUAGAAAUCGAAAGCUCCACCUUUGGUUUCUUUGAUGACAAUAUAUAAGAGUGCCGUUGAGGUAGGUGACGUUGUAGUAGAAAUUCAUGUCGGGGACAACACAUCGUGGUAGCACCUACUGAUGGGGUGACAACACAUCUUUAGCAGGACAAUUAAAGAAUAGUCGAUGAAGAACAAUUGAAUAAAAAGCAAAAAAGAAUCACCAAUUCGAAACAAAUAGUAUAGCACUGCACUACUAACUCACCCCAUCAACCGCAAGUGGCAAAUGACUCCAAACCCAAAACAAUGAAGAAAAUAACCAUUAGUUAAAAUUCGUGAAAUGGGAAUAUCUGAGUAUAAAAUUACAACUAAUCUGAAGGAAUCUGCUAAACAACCUAAUCUUCUAUCAUUUUCAUUUGAUAUUUAAAUUAUUGACUGCUGAAACAAAACUCAUAAAAGAUAAAAUCUGCAACAAUAAUAAUAGAACUCUAUCUAAAACUUAUUCAAAAUUCAAAUAAGGCAGGUCUCAUAUCUUUAGCUAGACAAGAAGAUAUACUAUGAGGGCACUACUGACCCCGACCCUAUCACGUGCAUGCAUAUGAACUAUUAUCUACAAGUUGUCCCCACUGCCCAAGAACGAGAGCNNNNNNNNNNNNNNNNNNNNNNNNNNNNNNNNNNNNNNNNNNNNNNNNNNNNNNNNNNNNNNNNNNNNNNNNNNNNNNNNNNNNNNNNNNNNNNNNNNNNUGCCAAAUGGCUCCAGCCCCAAACCACAGCGAGCAACACAAAACCAGUCCCCCAUGCCACUAGCUGUAUAUAUGCAGAUUACAAAAAGAGACGUGCACCACAUACAGAACAAAUUGAUGAAAAGUAUAAUAUAGUAUAUUUAUGAAUCACGAUUAAAAUAAAUUUCUAACAAUUACUUGAUUUUAAAAGCUUUUAUAGUUUUAAUUUCCAAAGGUUAUUAGUUUUAUUAAUAGUUUUUUAUACUUGUAUUAUAUUACAAAUAUAAUAAUGACUAAAUUAAGCUUAAUAUAUAUACCUCCUGAAUAUAUUUUGUAAAAAUACACAAACUUUCUCUAUUUUUUUAUUAUAAAAAAAUAAGGUUGCCAAGCCAUUGUUCAAAUCAAAGGGCGAUCCAAUAGUAGGUGAGAACUAAAAUAAAUUUUUAUUUUUUUUAUUUUAAAUGAAGAAUAAUAUAUCGUAUUUUUUAAAUAAAUAUGGUCUUUUUAUUUUAUAAUAGCUAAUGAAAAAUUUAUAGAACUAAAAUUUAAAUUUUACUUGUUUUAUUGUUGUUUUCACUCUCAUUCAAAGGAGUAAAAGAAUGAACUUGUCCCCGAUCCGAUAACCACACCCCACGCAGCGUAGUAAAUUUUCUUCAUCAAAAUUAUCUAUGUAAAACUCCAGCAGCAACUGGAAAAAGAUUUCGAUUUCUUUAGUUUCAGUACACCAAAGCACUCUCCAUGCGUGAAGUGAAACUAGAUGGUAUAUUCUGAAAGUGAUCCCGUGGAGAAUUUGGAAGAACAGAGAGGGUAUUCAGACAAAUUAUAGAAGCCACCGAUGAAUCAAUGAGUAGAAUAUGCUUCUUCUUUGAAGAUUAACUAUCCCCACCACGCCUGAAGGACUUAAAAGCUUCUAAAAUAAAUUUAAGAAUGAAAUUUUUUAUUUAUUUAUAAAACUUAGUGUUCUUAUUUAUCAUUUAAAAAUGACACAUUUUAUUUUAUAAUAAUUUUCUUAAAGUAUAUUAGUACUAAAAAAUAUUUUAAUUUUUUUUUUUUAAAACCUAAAGCCUUUCCUUGAGCUCCUUAGACCUUAAGCCGGUCCUUAUUAUCCCUGGGUGGGCAACUUGUUAAUGAUGAAUUGAAGACCCUUCAAACCUGUGUGCUACCUUAAGUAGGAGUGGAAUAUCAAUUGUUUCCACACUAGGGACAAAACUUCAUCAAACUCAUGAACUACUCAAUCCCUUCCAGCGUGGAAUUUGCAACAACGACCCUCAGUCAUCUUCCUCUAUAUAUUACUACUCAGCUCUUAUACAUAGACCCACACAGUUAUACAACUCUAGAGAAUCAAGAAAAUUAUUUUAUAUAAAAAUAAUAUAUAUAUAUAUAUAUAUAACAUAUAAAUUAAAUAUUUUAACAAUAUAAUAAAGCAAAAUAGUAAAUUAAUAAUAACGUCAUUUCAUCAUUAGUUCAUCCAUAUUCACCAUAAAAUAGGAUAUAAUUUUUGUAUAGGAACGUAACAGGAUAUGAUUUUUGUAUAAAAACAUAGGAUAUGAUAAGAUAUAAUUUUUAUUUGUUUUAGAAUACAGUAACGUAAUAAAUGAAAAAAAGAAACCUAAUAGGAAUAGUAAAAUGAAUUGUUAACAGAAAUAGGAAAACUAAUAAAAAUAAUGAGAAAUAUAAAGAAACUCACACCUUUAAUUAAAAAUUUAUUUAAUUAUAAGAAUGAAAUCGGCUAAUUUUUUUAAAAAAUAAUAUUAAUUAUAUCCAAAAAAUAAUAUAUAUAUAUAUAUAUAUAUAUAUAUAUAGGUCGGUCUAUCAGGCUUAUAAGACUUUUUAAUAAGUCUAAGUCUGACCUAUUUAAUUUAAUAGGCUUUUGUAAAAGCCUAAACCUAGCCUUUUAAUUAAAUAGGUCAGGUCAGGUCAAACUUUAUAUAGACCCUGUCGUAGAUCCAUGUAAGUCGGCAUAACCUAUCCUCACCCUGUCACGCCACUGCUGACCCCGACCCUAUCAGAUGCAUGAACUUUUAUGGACAAGUUGUCCCCACUCCCCAAGAACAAGAGCAAGUGCCAAAUGACUCCAAACCCAAAACCGCAGCCAGCAACACAAAACCAGUCCCCCAUGCAAUAGCUGUAUAUAUGCAGAUUACAAAAUUAAAAGAGACACCACAGAACAAAUGAAUGAAAAGUAUAAUAGUAUAUUUAUGAACGAAGAUGAAAAUAAAUUUCUAACAAUUAAUUAAUUUUAAAAGCUUUCAUAGUUUUGAUUUACAAAUGCUAUUAGUUUUAUUAAUAGUAUAUAGAUACUUGUAUUAUAUUACAAAUAUAAUAAUGAAAAAAUUAAGGUUAAUAUACCUCCUAGAAUAUAUUUUGUAAACCUAAAACAAAUUUAAGAUUUUCUUUUUUAAACCUAAAGCCUGUACUUACUUGUACUGCUGGAAACUUGAGCCCGCACUUGUUAUCCCUAAUGGGCAACCUUGAAACUUGAGCCCGUACUUAUUAUUCCUAGUGGGCAACUUGUUAAUGAUGAAUUGAAGACCCUUCAAACCGUGUGUGCUACCUUAGGUAGGCGUGGAAUAUCAAUUGUUUUCAAAUUAGGAAUAAAACUUCAUCAAACUCAUGAACUUACUCAGUCCCUUCCAGCGUGGAAUUCGCAACAACGACCCUCAGUCAUCAUCCUCUAUAUAUUACUCCUCAGCUCUUAUAUUUAGACGCACACAGUUAUACAGCUCUAGAGAAUUAUCAUACCCUUCAAGAUGAAACCGUACCUACGUCCAAUAUUCCUAUUAUUCCUUAUCCUUCUCGACCAAUCCAUUUCGGCGAGUGCUGCUAUAAAUAUUAAUGGUCUGAGAAACAAAAUUAGAGAAGUUCUAAACAAGCACCCGAGCAUCAAUCUUCCGGCAGAUAAACUGAAGAAGGUGAAGAGACCACUGAAGGCACUGGAUUAUCUGCUUGGCGAAUGUAAGGACAGGCCGCCUCAAGAAUUUCAAGAAUUUUGCCCGAAAUUUAAGAACGAUUAUCAACAAAAUUGCCCGAAUGCCGCGUAUGAAGCAGUUUGCCCGUUACUGAAGCAAGCGAUUCAAAUAUGUUGCCAGAAACACGCAUAACUCUGCAAGCCACGGUGGGCGUUUGGAUGUGCUUUUAGUUACCACUUUCUCUCUUGGAUUUGCUUACGUAUUGCUCCUUUUGUAUUAGUGGCUCCUGUCCCACCUUGCUUUUGGACUUGAGCUUUUUAUAUUUCUGAUUGUUCAAUGUCUGUUGUGUGUGCUCUCCAACCUGUGGUGACUUUCCGGUUUAUUCCUGUGGCUGUUUCUUGUAGGCCUUUCGACCUCCAGUAUUAAAUAAAAGAUCAUCUUGUAGCUUUUUAAUUUUAAUUAUUUUUUAUUUAUAUCUCUUCUAAUAUUAAUAAUAAAUAAUAAAAUAUAUAAAUAAAUAAAUGAUUAUAUACAAUUAAUCUUUUAGGAUGAUUAUUAUUUUAAGAUAGAAAAAAAUAAUAUAUAUUUAUAUAUUGUUAUGAGAGGUCUUUAGUUAUAUGCAUAAUGCACCCUUGGCAACUUGGGAGUUGGGAUUUCAGUAAUUAUUAUUGUGGUGGGUAAAGCUAUAAACUCGGUUUUGUGUAAGUUCCUUUACUUUCUUGAGGAGUCUAAGGUGGGAAAGAGAAACACCUCUUCCAAUGUAAGAAAGUUUUUUAAAACUGGUAUAUUAGUUUAGUUUCAAUCUAAUGCCUCAAAUUUUUUUUUCUUUUCUCCUUGUAUUUUUUAUUCCUUUUCUUCUUAUCUUUCCUUGUUUGCCCCUUCAAUUCUCUUCUUUCUCUCCCAUCUUCUUUCUCUCUCCUUCUAUCCGCCACCAUAGUGCACCGUCACUUGUAGUUGCUUUGGUGGUACUCUACCACAGAAGAAGCAAGUGGAGCCUUGUUUCCAUUACUUUACGGAAAUUCACUUAAUCACAUUCAAUUGGUUCAUUGAGGAAUGAUUGCGGCGUUGUGUUUUUUCUUUCGUGUUUCUGUGUGAGUCAUUUGAGCGGUGCUGCGAAAGAAGAAAAAACUCCGGCGGGUGCCCACUGGUUGUCUGCGGUGGAGAGAAGGAGUGUUUUGUGCGGAAGAAAAGAAGUGGGGCAAACAAGGAAAGACAGGAAGAAAGGAAUAAAAGAAAAAGAGAAAAGAAAAAAUAAUUGAACCAUCAGAUCGACGAAAACUAAACCAAGUGUCAAGGGAAACGAAAAGCAUAAUAGCAUGAGUCAAGUUCAAAAAUUAUACAAAGUUUCACAAAGAAGAUCCAUAUAUGUUUCAAAUGCUAGAUUCCUUCGAAUAGAUGGCUAUGGGUGAUAAAUUAUAUAUGAAUUGCAAAAUACAAAAAAUUCGUUGCAACUUGCAAGGGAUGCAUCAGUAACAAUUGUCUAUUUGAUAUAAAUAUUUAAUUUUAUAUUAACGCAAGGUAAGCAUAUUUUUGUUUUAAUAACAUACUAUUUAUAUUUUAUUUAAAAUAUUUAAUCAGCAUGUUUACGGACAACCCGCAUAUAUAAGCCACUUAAUCUGAAAUCACUUUACUCUUACACAAAAAUAAUGAAUCAAAGAGAAAUAGAGAACUAAGGCUAAACCUAAUCAGAAAAAUCUGAUAGUUGCCAAACACAAACCCUUCCUUUUACACUUCUUCAUCUGUGUGUGUUGACUGCUACUUGCUGCUAAUUUAGGAUCUUGGCAGUUGUAUACGAUAUGCAUGCAUGAGGUCUUGCUGCCUUGUGUUUCUUGUACGACUAUUUCAGCGAUACCAACAUGCAUGGUGCAUGGUUGUUGCUAGUUUGUACGUACAAAAUUUAUACAUUAAUUAUGUUAUAAAAUUAAAUUUUAGAUUUUUAGUUAUACGAUAAGUAUUUACGAUUGCCAAUUGUGAGGCAAUCAUUACACACAUUAAAAUAGAGCCUUGUGCUUGUGGAUGGAGGCUUAUGAGGUAAAAAUAUGCCCACGUGGGAUAUCCUAAAUGUUUUACGGCAAAAUCAAGAUCUAGAUGGUGUUUGAUGAUCACAUAAAGGUGCAACUUCACAACAUAUCAUGCUUUACCGGCUUCAUUCAAUUUGGCAAUCAAUUUUGUGCCCAUCUACUCGUUUCAUCACGAAAGAAGACCCCUAUACCUUAUUUUAUUUAUUUGGGUUACCAAAAGGAAUAUUUCUUUGAAAAGACAUGCAACAACAUCACAACAGAGAAGGUUACAUAAAAUAAGAUGAAAUUAAAUAAAAUUUUAUAAUUUUAUUUAUAAAAUAGAUUCAUUUUGUAAAAUAAAUUUGUCCAUAGUUUAAAAAUUUGAAUUAUUUUAUACAUUUCCUUUAAAGUAUCUAUUUCAUUUUGUAAUUCAUGUCAUUAAAGUAUUUGUAUCAAAUUGAUUUGGUAACAUUUUCUUUAAUUAGUUACUCAGUUAAGAUAUUUAUAUUAUUAUUCAAAUUUAUUCAAUAAAUAUUAUAUAUAAUAAUAUAUGUAUAAAUCACAAUUAAAAUAACUUUCUAUCACAUGAAUUAAUUUAAAAAGUUCUCAUGCUUUAAAUUUCAAAUUCUAUUUUUAUAUUUUAAUUAUAUUUAUAUAAAAAAUAAAAUAAUGAGUAAAAUACGUAACAUCCCCUUAAAUUUUGUAAGAGUAUACAUCUUUUUGUAUUUUUUAACAUUUUCACUUUUUUUUAGCAACCUCCUUGAUCUAUAGGUUAACAUAGUGUAAUAUCCAAACAAUUAAAGAGAUUUAGUUUAUGAAUAUGGAGUGUUGGUAAUAUUUUUUUAGUGUAAUGUACUCGGAAAAUUAAUCUUCUACCAGUUGAAUAAAACUAUUUUUUUAUCAUGUAUCUUUUUAAAUUCUAUAUGUGUACAUAAAAUAAGGUUACACAAAUUUAAAUAAAUGACCAAAUUAAAAUACAUAACAAAAUUAAAAAUUUAAACACGUACAUAAAUUUAAUACAAAAUAACUUAAAAUACUACCUAAAAUACUCUACAAAUAAAAAAAUUAAAAAUUAAAUAACUACAUAAAUUUAAAUAAAUGACCAAAUUAAAAUACAUAACACAAAAUUAAAAAUUAAAUACCUACACAAAUUUAAAUAAAUGACCAAAUUAAAAUACAUAAAAAUUUAAAAAUUUGAACACGUACAUAAAUUUAACACAAAAAAACUUAAAAUACUACCUAAAAUACUCUACAAAUAACAAAAUUAAAAAUUAACAUACCAACAUAAAUUUAAAUAAAUGACCAAAUUAAAAUACGUAAUAACAAAAUUAUAAAAUAAAACACGUACAUAAAUUUAACACAACAAAACUUAAUUUACUAACUAAAAUACUCUACAAAUAACAAAAUUAAAUAUUAAAAUACCUACAUAAAUUUAAAUAAAUGACCAUAUUUUUUUCCAAUUAUUAAAAUUUAAAUUAAAUAACAUAUAUUAUACACAAAAAAUGGUAAUAAAUCAAAAAAUUACUAUGGAAUAAAAAAAUUAAGCAAUCUAUAUAUAUAAAAUUAAUAAAGUAUCAUAUAUUUCAAUAAAAACUAUAAAUAAGUAAACUAAAUAAUAUUCACAUUCUAACUAAACCUAAAAUACCAUAUAUAUAAUACAAAAAAUAUCAUACAAACCUAAUAAAUCUAAACCAAAUAAUAAUAACAUAACAACUAAAAUUAACGUACAAAUAAUUUUAUCACAAAUAAUAACAUAAAUUUAAAAAAUCUUAACAAAAUCAUAUUAAUAAAUCAACUACAACUAACGUACAAAUAAUAAUAUACCAACUCAAAUUUAUAACAUAUACAUAUAACACAAAUAAUAUUAAUAUUUCAACAUUACUUAAGAUUUAAAAGUUCCACCUAACAUCAACAAACGUAGCAUAUAUAUAUAUACAAAAUUUUUAAAAAAUAUUAUUAUCAAAUUAACUAAAACUAACCUAACAUAUAUAUAUAUAUAUAACACAACUAAUAACAUACAAUUUUGAAAAACCUAACUUAACUAAUAUUAACAUAUCAACUAAAAUUACCAAGUUAAAAAACACUUACUAACAGAGAAAUCACGUAAUAGGAAGAGGAGAGAAACCACGUAAUAGGAAGAACAAAGCACUGUCCUACAAACAUAAACAAACCUAACGUAAAUAAUUUUCAUAUAUAUAUAUAUAUAUAUAUAUAUAUAUAUAUAUAUAUAUAUAUAACAACAAAUAUUUACCAUUAAAAAAUACUUACCAAGAAGAAAAAGCAGAACAAAAUAAGAACACCACAAUGUACUGCAGGAACUUAUGAAGAAGAGGAAGAAAGCAAUGCAAGGAAGCAGCUGUGGAAUCCGUCAUGGAGCUUCUUCUUUUAUAAUGCAACAUUUUUCAAUUACCACAACUCGCCAGCCACGCUAACGAUUUCCGUCAAAUGCAAAUUGCCAUCCCUAUUGGUGGUUCCCUCCUGCACUGCUGACCACUGAACCCUGCACACCUGCAUGGCCUGACGGACUCCUGCAAAGCUGCAUGGCCUGACUCCUGCAAAGCUGGACCUCCUGAGCCUACCUAGUGGAACUCGCCAGUCAAAUUGGCGGUUCCCUAUGCAUGACAGUAUCACCAUUGCUACUUGCGAUUUGUUCACGGAGAGUAAACUCGCUAGUUCCACUGGCGAUUUGCGUGGUGCAUGCAUGCAAAACAUGUAAAUAACAGCCCCCUCCCGGAAAAACUUUAAAAAGGACCCCAUCUGGGAAAAUACUUUUUAAAAGUACCCAAAAUGAGAAAUUUGCCUAGUACUUGAUCCUUUUUCUCUUUGAAGAGGAUGAGCUCGAGAUUCACUUAUGAUCCUUGUGUUUAUUAUAAAAUUUAAUCCAUUAAUCAAGUUUGAAUCAAUAAGUUAUAUAUUAGUUCGAAUAAAAUUAGACUUGGUAUUCUAUAUUUAUUUUUUCAUGUGUAUUUUUUUAUUUAUUAAAAAGUUCUAGCAUAGUUCCAAAUAUAUUAAUUUUAUGACUUACUCAAAAUUGUUUUAAAUUUUAAAAAUAACUAUUUGUUUUUAAUAAAAAUGUAUAAAAAAUUAGGGGUGGCAUAAGAGAAAGGUCUAAGCAUAGUAAAAAAAAUAAUUAAAAAAUGCUUUUCUCACGAUGCAUAAGAAAAUGUCCCUUAUGCAUUUUCUUAUGAUCGAUUGAUUAGUUGGAGCAAACAAAAAUGAGAAAAAAUGCUCCACAAAAUAAUUCAAUCAUGUAUUUUUUUAAAAUUUCUUAAAAAUUUCUAGCAUAGUUCCAUAUAUAUAUUAAUUUUAAUUAUGACUAAAAUAGUUUAAAUAUAAAAAACUAUUUAUCUUUUAGAAAUAUCUUAAAAAUAAUUAAACAAAUAAUAAUUUAAGUGAAUAAAACAAAAAAAAGUUAUAAAAAAUAAUUUUAAAAGAUUUUUGUGGAUAAAUGAGAGGGGGUAUUUUGAAAUAAUUAAAAAAUAUUAAUUUUUUAAAAUACUGUAAUGGAUUAAUUGGAUAUUCAUCCAUAAAAAUGUUAAUUAAUGCAUUUAUUAAAUUGAUCAUGAACACAUUAAGUUUGUUUUAUGAAUUUUGAAUGGAUAUUCAUAAAUGAAAUUGUGGUAUUUUUGCUAAUGAUAAUAUUUUUUCUCAUCAUUAUAUGUAGUUCAUCUCUCUUCUAAGAAGGUAAAAAGUUAUGCUUUGUUUGACAUGUUGUGGUAUGGUCUACUUUGAUUAUGCAUAACAAAAUUGUGUUUCAAGGCGUUUUCUUUUGACUUUAAUGGUGUUUUGUACUUGAUAAAAAAGGUUGUUUUGUAGACAUGGUAUGAGACUAUGAGCAAUACUGUCCGUUCUUUUUUAAUUAGUGUAUUGAUCAUGUAAUUUAUCUUUAUUUGUUCCUUUGGUUUUGCAUUAAUUGUAAUACAUAUGUAUUAGGAUUGGAAUACCCGUUGUACUCUUUUUCUUAAAAUAAAUAAAUAAAUAAAACUUUGCUUUUAAAAUAAAUGUACGUUAGCCGCACUCUCUUUUUAAUAUUUUCUCUUAUACCAUUAGCUGAAAAAAUUAACAAUUUUGGUGGGAUUUUGUUUCUUUUAAUGAGGUAUCUCUAUCUAUCUAUAUCGAUUUUGAAAUGAAAUCCAUCCAAAUUGAUGACAUUUUAUAAAUUUCAAGCAAUGGUAAUAGAGUAUUAGAAAAAGAGUGUCAAUUUUUUUUGCUAAUAUUCCUUAAAAAAAUAAGAUCGUAUGAGUUUUUUAGGUAGAAGCACUUUGGACAUUUAUUACCAAUCCAACUUUGAUUUUUUUAUUUAUUUAUUAUUCACUACGGUGUGUUUGGAUCAACUGAAAAAAGUAGGUUAUUUUAAUAUUUGAUUAUAUUAAUAACAAUUAUUGGUAUAAUACAUUAUAAUCCGAAUAAGUUUUUGUUUGAGUUUGUUUCUUGUAAACUUAUAUAUUUUAAGAUAAUUAUUUUUUUAUGGAUGAAGAAAAUAAUUAUUUUUUAAUUAAAAAAAUACCUUUAAUUUUACAAAUUUGAGUUGUUUUUCAAAUUAUAUAAGAUUAACACACUAUAAAAAAACUAAAAUUUUCAAUAUACCGAAUCAUCAUUCAGAUAGUCUCUUCUCUCCAUGUGAAGAGUUAUAAAAAUUCUAUUAAGAAAUAAAAAAACUUCCGGUUGAAGAAGAAUAAUGAAGUCACCUAUAUCCAUGUAAAUCUUGUUUCCUAUCUCUACAAAUAUGAAGGAAUUUUUUAAUUAUUAUUCAAAAAAGUUUCUUCUAUUAUUUUCUCUUGUAUUAUUCACUAAAAAGACUAUAAUAAUAACGGAAUUACGGUUAGAGAGUAAAAAAAAAGAAUUCAAGGUUAACACCAUUGAGGAAAAAAAAAAUCCUUUCUAUUAGAACAUCUAAAAAGUUUUUUAUAUGAUUUUUAGUAAAAUAAAAAAAUAUUAAGCAUAAACAACACAUUGGGAAACAUUCUCGAAAGUUUUGAGUAAAUGAAUGUAACUAACAAGUAGAAAUAAUAAGAUUUCUCUUUUAUCCCAUUUCAUUAAUUCAUUAAGUAUGUAUAAAAAAGCGAUCAAUAUAGAAUCUCUUGCAUACUUAUACUCUUUCUUAUUUCUAUUUGAAAAUUUUUCUUAAUGUUAACAUUCUCGAACAGGUGUUAAGAAAAGUGCUUAAUUAGAUUAGACAUCAUUUACGGAUUCAGAUACAUUAUGUUAUUUAGACAAUUAUUAUAGAUUAAAAUAUUUCUAAAAAUUUUCAUGAUAAUUUGAUAUAAUGUAUUCAUAAUGAUUAUAUUAGUAUUUUAUAAGAAUUUUUCUAAAAUUACCAACCAUUUAUGUUCACAAUUGAAACACAAUUAAAGACCAAUAAAAUUUACUAGAACAAAUAACGUAUUUGUUAGAUUUUAAACUAGAUAUUGGGUUCAUAUAUUUCUAAGCACAAACAAACUAGAACAAAUCCAAGUUGAAUUGCAUCAAAUUUUCUAAAAGGCUAUUAGACAAUGAAUAUAAUCAUUAUUGGUCUUGGUGCUUAUAAUUAUACAAUAAAUAUGAACUUAGCAGACAAAAUGAAAAUUAUUUUUAACUUUAUUAAAAGAUGAGGAAACCAAAAAUUCACCUGGCAGAAGAAACUACUAAUGUACAGAAGCAGAACAAAUCUAAAUCUACAAAAAUGAAACGAAAGCUUGAGUAUAUUGCUGCAUAUACCAUCAAGAAUGAACAGUUAACAUGGCCUAGUGUCAUGAAUAAACACUUAAUCACCCAAAGAACCUAGAAGGAGAACAUAUGAGAUGGAAAUUAAGUCAUUUACCUUUCAACAACCAAGGUCAUGCCAUAAGUUGCUAUCUCAGGAAAUUUCCCGAAGCUAUCAUUAGUUCAUUACCAAACUAUUUAAUUUCAUUGACAUAUGUCUUGCUACCAGAUUUUAUGUAACAAAGAUUUUAAAAGCCUUAUAAAAAGCCAAGAUUGCAUGUGAAUCAAAUCGUAAAAAGGGUACAAUUCAAUAGUUUUGCAAAAAUAUAAUUGUAAUAGCUACAACAUCACAAUACUUCAAUUUCAAACAUGAAAUUAAACAUAUGACUUAAAACAACACUAAAAUUCUUUAUUAUAAUAUGUGGAGCCUCAAAAAAAGAAUUAAAAAGAAAUUACUUCUAUAUAUUGCUAGGAAACAGAAUCAUGAUUCCUCUAAAUCCAAGCUUUCAAACCAUUUUAUAUCCUAUUUAAGUCAAAUCGUUAAAACGUAUCUUUGUAUCCAUUUUAUGAAAGUGAAAUCAUCUUUAAAAUAUUAAUGCUUUAGGCUAAGACAAAUCAUCCCCAUUUUCAUUGCAUCGGUUGGAAAUCAUUGUAGCACCCGGCCAUAUCAAAUAAAUUAGUAUGUAAAGCACUAUUUCUUCCUACUUAGUCUAACCAAAAUUAAUUAAAAUGAAUAGGAGAUUUGUUUUAAUUAGAGUUAGAGUCCUACAUUACAAAUUGAGAUUAUUUGAUUCAUUAAUAAAUUUUAAGAGCCAAACAUUUCACAAAAUUAAUCUUAUGUGUUUAACCCAUGAUAACCGAUAAAUAUGGAUUAUUUUUUAUAAUAAAAAUAUAUUAAAAAUAUCUUUAAAAAUAUUUAUUUAAUAAUUAUUUUUAGCUUAAAUAUUAUGAAUUGAUAUUUUUUUCUAUUUAUAACUUACAUGUAUGAAAAAGAGGAAUUAAAAAAGAAAAAAAGAUUAAAAAAUAUAAAAAAUAUAAAUAAGAAAAAUGUUGACAUUAAACCCAAGUCUAAGGAAAACAAUCACGUUAACCAUUCUAAGAUUGAGAACUCUCUCAACCUAUUUUUUUUUGUAUUUUAAAUUAAUUCCUAUCUCUGUCUGUCAAUUAAAUUUAUAUUAAUUUAAGUAUAAAUAAAAUUAAUACUUAAAUUUUUUAAUAUUUUACUAUUUAAGAUAAUUUGAUGCAUUUAUGAAUGAGUUACCAACCCACUCAUACACUACAAUUAUUCCCUUGAAAUUCAGCUAUUAACAAUGAAGAAUUGGCCCUAUAUAGUAGCAGAAGUGGAUAUAUACCGAUAGGGGAGGAUAGCAAAAGCCAUUCAAAAACAAAGAAAAACAUAAUAUGUAGCUUUAUCCAUGUAUUAGGAUCAUAUUCGUGUAGCAUUAAAAGAACAAAGUUUUUUCAGUGACAAACUCCUAAAAGCAUCAUGUCAAAGCCGUAGAAUCAACGAGCAUCCCAUAAAUAAAAAUAAAUAAAAUCACCAUAUUCAUGCACAAUUACACGUAGAAAUUAAUAAAAUCUUGUCCCCCGACAUCCGUACAACAAGAUAACGAAGAAAAAUCUGGUUGAAGUCUACCAUAAACCCAAGGCCUUCAAUCCAAAACAUAUUGCAUUAAAUCAGGAGUUUCAACUUUCAAGCUAUUAAUCCAAUUAAGAUUUUAUAUCCUUUUUUUUAAUAUUCAACUUGAGCUAUCUGUCUCCAUUAUUAAAUCUUUAAAGUUCUGAAAAUGAAAAUUCAUCAUCCCUAUAGAACACAAAAUAAUACAGAUAGACAAGUGCAAGUUAUUACACAAAGUUGAUAUUCAAACUAUACAAUAAAAAGAGGAUCGAAUGACAAUAAUGAGAGUGAUUAAAAAAAUAUACAAAUUCAAGGUCAUGACAACUCUGAUUCUGUGAAAAGGGAAGUCCAAAUGAAUGAAGAAUAAAAGACACUCAUUACCUAGUGUUUAGUUAACUUUCUGCUAGAAAUACUCUUACUUCGAGCCACAUCAGGUGCCAACUAAUUCUAUUUCUGCUCUGAGAAACUACCAUAAAAAUUUGUUUGGGAAUCCACAACCCUACCACCUUUUUCUGCAAACCCCUAAUUGAAAAGAGAGUAUAAUAAACACAAAAAGCUUGUGGGGAAAAUUAAAAGAGAGGGAGAGGGAGAGGGAGAGAGCACGAGAGAAAAAUUAAAAUUAAAAUAAUAUUUUUAGGAUAGUUGUAAAUAUUGUAUCAUGUACCAUAGAAAUGAUUAUAAAUGUAUCUAGAUUCAUGUACUUGUCCCUAUAAAAGACUAAUAUUUUUAACAGAAAAUAAAAAAAAAAGAGUUAAAAUGAAACCAUAAAAAUUUAAAAUAAAACUUUUAAAAUUUGAUAUACUAAAUCAGAAAAGAAAAAUACUAAAAUAUAAACGAUGAAAAUAUUUUUUUUUAAAACUUAAUAUUCCUAAAAAUAAAAUAAAAAAAUACAAAGAACCAAAAGUAAUAUAUAUCUGGAGGCCUAAAUGCCAAAAACAAUCACACAACUAAAACGAAAAGGCAUCAUCUGGAUGGGGCAACGCAUUCAACAACUAAUGAUACUCCAAAUUAAAUGAGUAAAUUUAUAAAUGUACAAUCCAUUUUUGUGUGGAUUGGACAAGGCAAUUAAGAGAGAUGUGAUAUCAUAGCAAAUAUAGAUAUUAAAAAAUAUAAGAUGAAAGAGAAUGAGUUUUAAGUAGGAUGUAUGUUUAUAAUGAUAACUCCUAAUACUAUUCUUCCUAAGCUCAUAAAUCCAUAACAUCCAAGUUUGUGUGAAACAUAAGACUUAGACUUGGUGUAUAUUUGAAUUAAAGUUGACGAUUUUAAUAUUAUAGUAGUUUUAUUGUAUAAGUUCAAGAAGGACUUUGGUCUUGCUUUUUUGUAAAUUUGAUUUCGAAUAUAAGUGUGUAAACAUACUCUUAAAGAUAACUAAACAUACUCUUAAAGAUAACUAAAUAUAUCAUAUGAAAUAAAAAUGAGUUUAUGCUCCAAACCAAGUUUAAAACACCAAAAUAAAAUCCAAACAUGUUGAUAUCGAUGUUAUUAAUAGUCUAAUGCAAAAGAAGCAAAUCGUAGACAGAAAAUGAUAACUAAAAGCAUUCACCAAAGCCCACCAUGGCAAAAGUUGUGAUUAGUAUAUAAUGUUGGAGCAUGUUGUGCUUAUUAGAAAUCGAAAGCUCCACCUUUGGUUUCUUUGAUGACAAUAUAUAAGAGUGCCGUUGAGGUAGGUGACGUUGUAGUAGAAAUUCAUGUCGGGGACAACACAUCGUGGUAGCACCUACUGAUGGGGUGACAACACAUCUUUAGCAGGACAAUUAAAGAAUAGUCGAUGAAGAACAAUUGAAUAAAAAGCAAAAAAGAAUCACCAAUUCGAAACAAAUAGUAUAGCACUGCACUACUAACUCACCCCAUCAACCGCAAGUGGCAAAUGACUCCAAACCCAAAACAAUGAAGAAAAUAACCAUUAGUUAAAAUUCGUGAAAUGGGAAUAUCUGAGUAUAAAAUUACAACUAAUCUGAAGGAAUCUGCUAAACAACCUAAUCUUCUAUCAUUUUCAUUUGAUAUUUAAAUUAUUGACUGCUGAAACAAAACUCAUAAAAGAUAAAAUCUGCAACAAUAAUAAUAGAACUCUAUCUAAAACUUAUUCAAAAUUCAAAUAAGGCAGGUCUCAUAUCUUAGCUAGACANNNNNNNNNNNNNNNNNNNNNNNNNNNNNNNNNNNNNNNNNNNNNNNNNNNNNNNNNNNNNNNNNNNNNNNNNNNNNNNNNNNNNNNNNNNNNNNNNNNNCUGGUUCUAAUGUCACGACAGGGGACAUACGCCUCAAAGGUGCCAUAUGGUCGCUGCCGAGUGAAAACGAGAGCCUGUCGUGGGAGGACGGAGUUUUGGACUUGGAGAGUGCGGCGAUGCAUCAGAUAGGGCAUCUUCUAGGGCUUGACCACUCUAACAAAGAGGACUCUGUUAUGUACCCUAACGUAUUGCCAUGGCAGCAACGAAAGGUGGAGCUCUCGGUUUCUGAUAUGGAAAACAUUCAGCGUCACUACACUAACGGCAUCUCUGGCCACAGUGGGCGUUGGGGAGUGCUUUUAAUGAAUAUCUUGUCUCUUGGAUUUGCUUACGAGCUUCUUUAAUUUUGUAUUGGUAUUUGGGUUUAUGAGCUUUUGGGAACAAUUUCAUGACUGUUGACUUGAGUAUAAUGCAUGUGUUCCCCAAACCAGGCAUGACAAUCAAACCCAUAUCCGUGAUAUUGUUCAAAGAAAAUACACGUACCUUAAAAGAAAAUACUCUGGGAGCCAGAACAAAUUAAAUCUUACUAUAUAUUAACUACCUUUUUUAUAUUUUUAAUUUUGGAUAAAAAUAUUUUUACUCCAUCUGAAAUAUGGGAAAUUUAAAAUUAGUCUCUUUAAAUUUUUUUGUCUCAAUGUCUCUAAAAUUUUAACAUGUUAUUUCAUUUAGCAUGUUAAUUAGUUUGUUACUAAACAAUGUAUCUAACACCUUAUGAUCACCAAUUUUUCAUUUUCUGUCAGUUCACCCUGUGACAUUUUUUCACUUUCUUUGGCCAUUCUUAGGGAUUCUUGGAGCAUCAUUCACCUCUUGAUCAUGGCGCACUUGAUGCCUUGGAUUUUUUGGAGGUUUAAAAUGCAUGGGCUGGGAUUUUUGAAGAUCAAGGUUAUUGUCACCUAAACACGUGGUUUUCUUUUCUAUUUCUACCAUCUUAAAAUACUUUUAUGCUUGUAUUUAUUGAUCUUAGUUUGGGGUUUGAAUUUCUUUUUAUCAUGACCAUCUAAGCUUAUAUUAUGAGGGAUGUUGUGACUUGAAUAUUAUGAAUUUUUCUAAUGUGUUGUGUAUAUUUGUCUUAUUGUACUUAAUUUUGAGUUUGGGAAUUGACUUUAAAGUGUUAAUUAAUAGACUAAUUAGUAACCAUCCAUAGAGACGUUCCCUAAUGUUCCAUUCAAUUAAUUAUACUUUUAGUAGUUUUUAACCUGUGAAGUUCAAAUAAUUAAGACGAAAAAAAUAGCAAAAGAAAUAUAUUAAAUGGCCACAACAUAGGGGACGUACGGUGCUUUAACUUUGAUAUUAUUAGCAUAAUCUUUUAACAAAUUGAGUUAAUGAGUCAAUUACGUUAUAAAAUAAAUAAUGUUACUAUACGUAAUAUUAAAAUUUCUAAUGUAUAUUUAAUACGGAUGUAAAUUUAAAUAAUAAAUUUUGUGACAAUUAAUUUUGAUAUAAGUCAUACAAAUUAUUUAAUUCGUAUAAUUUAUAUCAAAAUUAAUUGUAAUAAAAUUUAUUAUUUAAAUUUAUAUGCGUAUUAAAUAUACAUUAGAAAUUUUAGUGUUAUGUAUAGUAACAUUAUUUAUUUUAUAACAUAAUUGAUUCAUUAACUCAGUUGAUUAAAGCGUUAUGUUAAUAACCUGAAAAUUUACAGAAGAAUUUUUUUUUUGUAAGAGUUACGAGUGAAGGACAAGGCAAAAUUAGAAAAAUAAAAAAAUACUGGGUACAUCAGAAAUACUAUUGAUACACCUAGCAACACUCUUUUAGAAGGUAGCUUAAUAUAGAACUUAGCUAAGAAGUAAAUAAAUGUUUGUUAAAAAUUAUUUUUCUUUCACGAUCGAACUCAAAUAAUUUAAUUUUAUUUUCAACACAUUAAUCAUUUUAUUUUAUGUUGAAUCAUUUGAUUUCAAGUCAUAUGUUCUUAUCAAUCCUUAUCAAUGAAGUUUUCUCAUAUGUUAAAAAAAAGCCCCGAAAAUAAAGAAGGGCAAAAAAAGAAAGGGCCUCAAUAAAUGGAGAUAGAAAAAAAUAGUGAGUUCAUACAAGCAAGCCUUCGGUGAAUGCCACUUUAUCAAUCCAGAAAAGUACGAUUGCUCGAAAGGAUAAAUAUAUUUAGAUGCCGAAAAUACUAUUAUACACCUAUUAAAAAAGAGUGAAUUUUAUAAGUAUAUUAAAUAUAUGAUGUGAUGUGAGAAGAAGAAAAAAAAGAAAUGUUAAAAAACUAUUUAAAAUAAUGGAGUAUUCAAAAAUAACAUAUUUAGUACUUGGGCAAAUUUCCCCAUUUGGGGUACUUUUAAAAAGUAUUUUCCCAGAUGGGAUUGUUUUAAAAGAUUUUUCGGCAGGGGACUGUUUUGCACGUAAAAUGCAUGCAUGUUCCAAGCAAACUGCCAGUGAGACUGGCGAGUUUGCUCUCCAUGAACAAAUAACAGGUAAUAAUGGCGAUACUGCCAUGCAUAGGAAACCGCCAGUUUGACUGGCGAGUUCCACUAGGUAGGGCUUCAGCUUUGCAACAGGGAGCUCAGGAGCUCAGGCUUUUGCAGGAUGCAGGCGUGACAGGGAAAUCGUCACUCCUAUAGGCGAGUUAGUCUAAAGUGGAGUUGCCAAUGGUAUUGGCGAGUUAGGUGGGAGGUGCCACCUGCAUUGGCGAUUUAGCGUGUAAAUAUAGGUCCUUUUACGUUGCAGUUUCAGUGUGUGUUGCACUUUUUUAAAAGCUCUCAACUCAAAAUUUCCUUCUUCUCACGUAGUUUCAGUGUGUGUUACACUUUUUUAAAAGCUCUCAGCUCAAAAUUUCCUUCUUCUCACGUUUACAUUUGUUUUGUCAUAAGCUUUCCAAAUUUGGUGGUUCAGGUUUAAUUUGUAGCAUCAAUAUUUUCAGUCAAGUAAUUUUUUUUUAAUGUGAAGUUUUGAAUAAUUUUUUUAAUUAAAUUAGCUUUAUAUUUCUUAUGGUUGUUGGUGUGUGUUUAAAAUAAAAGAAAUUUGUACCAUCAUCUUUAUUUGAAGAAAAUAUUGAGUCCAAAAAUUGUAUUUUGAAUUUCAAGUUUUUAUUAUAUUUUUAAUUAGAUUAGGUUAGUUUUGAUGUUUUGUUAUUGUGUUAAAAAUUGAUCAAGUGUAUACUUUUAAAAGAUUUUAAAACUGAAAAAUUUUGUACCAUCAUAUUUAUUUGAAGUAUUUUGAGUGUGGAAUUUUUUUUAAUAUGAGGUUGUAGUAAUAUUUUUUUUAAAUUACUUUAGGUUGAUGUUAAUGAUUUGUUGGUAUGUGGUAAAAAUUAAUGAGCGUUGAACUUGAAUGGUAUUUUAAAUUUUAAUAUGAAGUGUGUAGUAUAUAAUUAAUAUGUGUACUUUUAAAGUGUUGUUUAGUUCAGCGUUUUUAAAUUUAUACUUUUAAGUCUAUGACAUCAUUUUUAUUUUAAUGUAUUUAUAGUAAUUUUGUAAUUACGUUUAUUUAUUUAGAAUUUAUUAUUGUUAACAUUAAUUAUUUAUAAUACUAACUUUGGUUAUGGUUUAUUUUGCCUUUAAAAUUAGUUCGUUGGAAUCGUUUAUAUUUUUUAAGUGUGUACCAUUAUAUUUAUUUAAAGUUAAUAUUUUUUGUAUAUAAUAAAAUUAUAAUGUGAAGUUCCAGCAAUGGGAUUUUUUGUGAUUUCAUUUUGUUAUUUUGAAUUUAUUAUGAUUAAUUAUUUAAAAUAUUGUUUUUGUAGGUACAUCAUGAAUUCAGUUAUAAUAGUAUUAUAUUUCAAUGAAAGGGUAUAUGAAGAUAAUGAUGGUGUAAGAUUUGAAGACAAUAAAAAAGCGAUUCAGAUUAAACGUGGAAUUAGUUUCAAUGUUUUGAAGAAAAAAAUUGGAGAUAAUGUAAAGUUAGAAAAUAAUGAAAUUAUUUGUGCUAUCAGUUGUAGAUUUUUAGUGUCUGAAAAAUAUGUUGCGUUACAAAUUUGUGAUGACGAAGAUGUUGAAACCAUGCUCAAAAGUUUUAAACAACAAGAUCAAAUGUCAGCUUUGAAAUUGACAACAAAAAUUUUACAUUAAAAAAAUUAACUACACUUACAAAAAAUCAAUUGAAUAUACAUACCACAUAAUUAAAAUCUGAAUAAAUAACAAAAUACAUCAAUUUGAACAAAUAACAAAAUUAAAAAUAACAAUACGUACACAAAUUUCAAUAAAUGCUCUAAAAUACUCUACAAAUAACAAAAUUACAAAUUAAACACGUACAUAAAUUUAACACAACAAAACUUAAAAUAUUACCUAAAAUACUCUACAAAUAACAAAAUUAAAAAUUACAUGCCUACACAAAUUUAAAUAAAUGACCAAAUUAAAAUACAUAACAAAAUUAAAAAUUUAAACACGUACAUAAAUUUAAUACAAAAUAACUUAAAAUACUACCUAAAAUACUCUACAAAUAACAAAAUUAAAAAUUAAAUAACUACAUAAAUUUAAAUAAAUGACCAAAUUAAAAUACAUAACACAAAAUUAAAAAUUAAAUACCUACACAAAUUUAAAUAAAUGACCAAAUUAAAAUACAUAACAAAUUUAAAAAUUUAAACACGUACAUAAAUUUAACACAAAAAAACUUAAAAUACUACCUAAAAUACUCUACAAAUAACAAAAUUAAAAAUUAACAUACCAACAUAAAUUUAAAUAAAUGACCAAAUUAAAAUACGUACAUAACAAAAUUAUAAAAUAAAACACGUACAUAAAUUUAACACAACAAAACUUAAUUUACUAACUAAAAUACUCUACAAAUAACAAAAUUAAAUAUUAAAAUACCUACAUAAAUUUAAAUAAAUGACCAUAUUUUUUUUCCAAUUAUUAAAAUUUAAAUUAAAUAACAUAUAUUAUACACAAAAAAUGGUAAUAAAUCAAAAAAUUACUAUGGGAUAAAAAAAUUAAGCGAUCUAUAUAUAUAAAAUUAAUAAAGUAUCAUAUAUUUCAAUAAAAACUAUAAAUAAGUAAACUAAAUACUAUUCACAUUCUAACUAAACCUAAAAUACCAUAUAUAUAAUACAAAAAAUAUCAUACAAACCUAAUAAAUCUAAACCAAAUAAUAAUAACAUAACAACUAAAAUUAACGUACAAAUAAUUUUAUCACAAAUAAUAACAUAAAUUUAAAAAAACCUAACUUAACUAAUAUUAACAUAUCAACUAAAAUUACCAAGUUAAAAAACACUUACUAACAGAGAAAUCACAUAAUAGGAAGAGGAGAGAAACCACGUAAUAGGAAGAACAAAGCACUGUCCUACAAACAUAAACAAACCUAACGUAAAUAAUUUUCAUAUAUCAACUACAAUUAAGUUAAUAUAUAUAUAUAUAUAUAUAUAUAUAUAUAUAUAUAUAUAUAUAUAUAUAUAUAACACAACAAAUAUUUACCAUUAAAAAAUACUUACCAAGAAGAAAAAGCAGAACAAAAUAAGAACACCACAAUGUACUGCAGGAACUUAUGAAGAAGAGGAAGAAAGCAAUGCAAGGAAGCAGCUGCGGAAUCCGUCAUGGAGCUUCUUCUUUUAUAAUGCAACAUUUUUCAAUUACCACAACUCGCCAGCCACGCUAACGAUUUCCGUCAAAUGCAAAUUGCCAUCCCUAUUGGUGGUUCCCUCCUGCACUGCUGACCACUGAACCCUGCACACCUGCAUGGCCUGACGGACUCCUGCAAAGCUGCAUGGCCUGACUCCUGCAAAGCUGGACCUCCUGAGCCUACCUAGUGGAACUCGCCAGUCAAAUUGGCGGGUCCCUAUGCAUGACAGUAUCACCAUUACCACAACUCGCCAGCCACUCUAACGAUUUCCGUCAAAUGCAAAUUGUCAUCCCUAUUGGUGGUUCCCUCCUGCACUGCUGACCACUGAACCCUGCACACCUGCAUGGCCUGACGGACUCCUGCAAAGCUGCAUGGCCUGACUCCUGCAAAGCUGGACCUCCUGAGCCUACCUAGUGGAACUCGCCAGUCAAAUUGGCGGGUCCCUAUGCAUGACAGUAUCACCAUUGCUACUUGCGAUUUGUUCACGGAGAGCAAACUCGCUAGUUCCACUGGCGAUUUGCGUGGUGCAUGCAUGCAAAACAUGUAAAUAACAGCCCCCUCUCGGAAAAACUUUAAAAAGGACCCCAUCUGGGACAAUACUUUUUAAAAGUACCCAAAAUGAGAAAUUUGCCUAGUACUUGAUCCUUUUUUCUCUUUGAAGAGGAUGAGCUCGAGAUUCACUUAUGAUCCUUGUGUUUAUUAUAAAAUUUAGUCCAUUAAUCAAGUUUGAAUCAAUAAGUUAUAUAUUAGUUCGAAUAAGAUUAGACUCAGUAUUCUAUAUUUAUUUUUUCAUGUGUAUUUUUUUAUAUAUUAAAAAGUUGUAGCAUAGUUCCAAAUAUAUUAAUUUUAUGACUUACUCAAAAUUGUUUUAAAUUUUAAAAAUAACUAUUUUUUUUAAUAAAAAAUUAGGGGUGGCAUAAGAGAAAGGUCUAAGCAUAGUAAAAAAAAAAUUAAAAAAUGCUUUUCUCACGAUGCAUAAGAAAAUGUCCCUUAUGCAUUUUCUUAUGAUCGAUUGAUUAGUUGGAGCAAACAAAAAUGAGAAAAAAUGCUCCACAAAAUAAUUCAAUCAUGUAUUUUUUUAAAAUUUCUUAAAAAUUUCUAGCAUAGUUCCAUAUAUAUUAAUUUUAAUUAUGACUAAAAUAGUUUAAAUAUAAAAAACUAUUUAUCUUUUAGAAAUAUCUUUAAAAUAAUUAAACAAAUAAUAAUUUAAGUGAAUAAAACAAAAAAAAGUUAUAAAAAAUAAUUUUAAAAGAUUUUUGUGGAUAAAUGAGAGGGGGUAUUUUGAAAUAAUUAAAAAAUAUUAAUUUUUUAAAAUACUGUAAUGGAUUAAUUGGAUAUUCAUCCAUAAAAAUGUUAAUUAAUGCAUUUAUUAAAUUGAUCAUGAACACAUUAAGUUUGUUUUAUGAAUUUUGAAUGGAUAUUCAUAAAUGAAAUUGUGGUAUUUUUGCUAAUGAUAAUAUUUUUUCUCAUCAUUAUAUGUAGUUCAUCUCUCUUCUAAGAAGGUAAAAAGUUAUGCUUUGUUUGACAUGUUGUGGUAUGGUCUACUUUGAUUAUGCAUAACAAAAUUGUGUUUCAAGGCGUUUUCUUUUGACUUUAAUGGUGUUUUGUACUUGAUAAAAAAGGUUGUUUUGUAGACAUGGUAUGAGACUAUGAGCAAUACUGUCCGUUCUUUUUUAAUUAGUGUAUUGAUCAUGUAAUUUAUCUUUAUUUGUUCCUUUGGUUUUGCAUUAAUUGUAAUACAUAUGUAUUAGGAUUGGAAUACCCAUUGUACUCUUUUUCUUAAAAUAAAUAAAUAAAUAAAACUUUGCUUUUAAAAUAAAUGUACGUUAGCCGCACUCUCUUUUUAAUAUUUUCUCUUAUACCAUUAGCUGAAAAAAUUAACAAUUUUGGUGGGAUUUUGUUUCUUUUAAUGAGGUAUCUCUAUCUAUCUAUAUCGAUUUCGAAAUGAAAUCCAUCCAAAUUGAUGACAUUUUAUAAAUUUCAAGCAAUGGUAAUAGAGUAUUAGAAAAAGAGUGUCAAUUUUUUUUGCUAAUAUUCCUUAAAAAAAUAAGAUCGUAUGAGUUUUUUAGGUAGAAGCACUUUGGACAUUUAUUACCAAUCCAACUUUAAUUGUUUUUUUAUUUAUUAUUCACUACGGUGUGUUUGGAUCAACUGAAAAAAUUAGGUUAUUUUAAUAUUUGAUUAUAUUAAUAACAAUUAUUGGUAUAAUACAUUAUAAUCCGAAUAAGUUUUUGUUUGAGUUUGUUUCUUGUAAACUUAUAUAUUUUAAGAUAAUUAUUUUUGUAUGGAUGAAAAAAAUAAUUAUUUUUUAAUUAAAAAAAUACCUUUAAUUUUACAAAUUUGAGUUGUUUUUCAAAUUAUAUAAGAUUAACACACUAUAAAAAAACUAAAAUUUUCAAUAUACCGAAUCGUCAUUCAGAUAGUCUCUUCUCUCCAUGUGAAGAGUUAUAAAAAUUCUAUUAAGAAAUAAAAAAAACUUCCGGUUGAAGAAGAAUAAUGAAGUCACCUAUAUCCAUGUAAAUCUUGUUUCCUAUCAAAUCGUAAUAGCUACAACAUCACAAUAGUUUUGCAAGAUUGCAUGUGAAUCAAAUCGUAAAAAGGGUACAAUUCAAUAGUUUUGCAAAAAUAUAAUUGUAAUAGCUACAACAUCACAAUACUUCAAUUUCAAACAUGAAAUUAAACAUAUGACUUAAAACAACACUAAAAUUCUUUAUUAUAAUAUGUGGAGCCUCAAAAAAAGAAUUAAAAAGAAAUUACUUCUAUAUAUUGCUAGGAAACAGAAUCAUGAUUCCUCUAAAUCCAAGCUUUCAAACCAUUUUAUAUCCUAUUUAAGUCAAAUCGUUAAAACGUAUCUUUGUAUCCAUUUUAUGAAAGUGAAAAUCAUCUUUAAAAUAUUAAUGCUUUAGGCUAAGACAAAUCAUCCCCAUUUUCAUUGCAUCGGUUGGAAAUCAUUGUAGCACCCGGCCAUAUCAAAUAAAUUAGUAUGUAAAGCACUAUUUCUUCCUACUUAGUCUAACCAAAAUUAAUUAAAAUUAAUAGGAGAUUUGUUUUAAUUAGAGUUAGAGUCCUACAUUACAAAUUGAGAUUAUUUGAUUCAUUAAUAAAUUUUAAGAGCCAAACAUUUCACAAAAUUAAUCUUAUGUGUUUAACCCAUGAUAACCGAUAAAUAUGGAUUAUUUUUUAUAAUAAAAAUAUAUUAAAAAUAUCUUUAAAAAUAUUUAUUUAAUAAUUAUUUUUAGCUUAAAUAUUAUGAAUUGAUAUUUUUUUCUAUUUAUAACUUACAUGUAUGAAAAAGAGGAAUUAAAAAAGAAAAAAAGAUUAAAAAAUAUAAAAAAUAUAAAUAAGAAAAAUGUUGACAUUAAACCCAAGUCUAAGGAAAACAAUCACGUUAACAUUAUUAAGAUUGAGAACUCUCUCAACCUAUUUUUUUUUUGUUAUUUUAAAUUUAAUUUCUUAUCUCUUGCCUGUCAAUUAAAUUUAUAUUAAUUUAAGUAUAAACAAAAUUAAUACUUAAAUUUUUUAAUAUUUUACUAUUUAAGAUAAUUUGAUGCAUUUAUGAAUGAGUUACCAACCCACUCAUACACUACAAUUAUUCCCUUGAAAUUCAGCUAUUAACAAUGAAGAAUUGGCCAUAUAUAGUAGCAGAAGUGGAUAUAUACCGAUAGGGGAGGAUAACAAAAGCCAUUCAAAAACAAAGAAAAACAUAAUAUGUAGCUUUAUCCAUGUAUUAGGAUCAUAUUCGUGUAGCAUUAAAAGAACAAAGUUUUUCAGUGACAAACUCCUAAAAGCAUCAUGUCAAAGCCGUAGAAUCAACGAGCAUCCCAUAAAUAAAAAUAAAUAAAAUCACCAUAUUCAUGCACAAUUACACGUAGAAAUUAAUAAAAUCUUGUCCCCCGACAUCCGUACAACAAGAUAACGAAGAAAAACCCCGGUUGAAGUCUAUCAUAAACCCAAGGCCUUCAAUCCAAAACAUAUUGCAUUAAAUCAGGAGUUUCAACUUUCAAGCUAUUAAUCCAAUUAAGAUUUUAUAUCCUUUUUUUUAAUAUUCAACUUGAGCUAUCUAUCUCCAUUAUUAAAUCUAUAAAGUUCUGAAAAUGAAAAUUCAUCAUCCCUAUAGAACACAAAAUAAUACAGAUAGACAAGUGCAAAUUAUUACACAAAACUGAUAUUCAAACUAUACAAUAAAAAGAGGAUCGAAUGACAAUAAUGAGAGUGAUUAAAAAAAUAUACAAAUUCAAGGUCAUGAUGACAACUCUGAUUCUGUGAAUAGGGAGGUCCAUAUGAAUGAAGAAUAAAAGCCAGUCAUUACCUAGUGCUUAGUUAACUUUCUACUAGAAAUACUCUUCCUUCGGGUCACAUCAGGUGCCAACUAAUUCUACUUCUGCUCUGAGAAACUACCAUAAAAAUUUGUUUGGGAAUCCACAACCCUAACACCUUUUUCUACAAACCCCUAAUUGAAAAGAGAGUAUAAUAAACACAAAAAGCUUGUGGGGAAAAUUAAAAGAGAGGGAGAGGGAGAGAGCGCGAGAGAAAAAAUAAAAUUAAAAUAAUAUUUUUAAGAUAGUUUUAAAUAUUGUAUCAUGUACCAUAGAAAUGAUUAUAAAUGGAUCUAGAUUUAUGUCCUUGUCCCUGUAAAAGACUAAUAUUUUUAACAAAAUAAAUAAAAAAGUUAAAAUGAAACUAUAAAAAUUUAAAAUAAAACUUUUAAAAUUUAAUAUACUAAAUCAGAAAAGAAAAAUACUAAAAUAUAAACGAUGAAAAUAAUUUUUUUAAAACUUAAUAUUCCCUAAAAAUAAAAUAAAAAAUCCAAAGAACCAAAAGUACUAUAUAUCUGGAGGCCUAAAUGCCACAAACAAUCACACAACUAAAACGAAAAGGCAUCGUAUGGAUGGGGCAACGCAUUCAACAACUAAUGAUGCUCCAAAUUAAAUGAGUAAAUUUAUAAAUGUACAAUCCAUUUUUGUGUGGAUUGGACAAGGCAAUUAAGAGAGAUGUGAUAUCAUAGCAAAUAUAGAUAUUAAAAAAUAUAAGAUGAAAGAGUAUGAGUUCUAAGUAGGAUGUAUGUUUAUAAUGAUAACUCAUAAUACUAUUCUUCCUAAGCUCAUAAAUCCAUAACAUCCGAGUUUGAGUGAAACAUAAGACUUAGACUUGGUGUAUAUUUGAAUUAAAGUUGACGAUUUUAAUAUUAUAGUAGUUUUAUUGUAUAAGUUCAAGAAGGACUUUGGUCUUGCUUUUUUGUAAAUUUGAUUUCGAAUAUAAGUGUGUAAACAUACUCUUAAAGAUAACUAAACAUACUCUUAAAGAUAACUAAAUAUAUCAUAUGAAAUAAAAAUGAGUUUAUGCUCCAAACCAAGUUUAAAACACCAAAAUAAAAUCCAAACAUGUUGAUAUCGAUGUUAUUAAUAGUCUAAUGCAAAAGAAGCAAAUCGUAGACAGAAAAUGAUAACUAAAAGCAUUCACCAAAGCCCACCAUGGCAAAAGUUGUGAUUAGUAUAUAAUGUUGGAGCAUGUUGUGCUUAUUAGAAAUCGAAAGCUCCACCUUUGGUUUCUUUGAUGACAAUAUAUAAGAGUGCCGUUGAGGUAGGUGACGUUGUAGUAGAAAUUCAUGUCGGGGACAACACAUCGUGGUAGCACCUACUGAUGGGGUGACAACACAUCUUUAGCAGGACAAUUAAAGAAUAGUCGAUGAAGAAAAAUUGAAUAAAAAGCAAAAAAUAAUAUAUAUAUAUAUAUAUAUAUAUAUAUAUAUAUAUAUAUAUAUAUAUAUAUAUAUAUAUAUAUAUAUAUAUAUAUAUAUAUACCUUUCUAAUUAAAUAUUUUAAUAAUAUAAUAAAAUAAAAUAGUAAAUUAUAAAUUUAAAAAUACUAAAAUAAGUAAAUCUAAUAAUAUAUUACUAUGGGAUGAUAAUUUACUGAUGUUAUAGUAAUGAUAAACCAUUUUUAUCUUAAAUUUAAUAUUAUUAGAAAAUAAUAAAAACAUGUUAAACAAUAAUAAAUAUAAAAUAAUCUAAAUGAUUAAUUGUUGUUAUUAUGAAUCAUUUUCAAUGAAAAAUAUGAAUGAUAUCUUUUAUCUUCUUAGCUUUAAUGGUAGUUUUAUGUAGUUUUAGAAUAACCUAACUUUUAACCCUCUUACAAUUGAAAAAUAGUAAUAUAUAGAGGAAAUGAGGCUUAACUUGGGAACAAUAUAUAUUUAAAUACAAUAAAGUAUAAUCAGCAUUUGUGGUAUAAAUCUAGUCGGAAUCAUGUCUGUUUUCGUCAUGCAGGGGCAUAACAUUAGGCCUUCUAAUAAAAUGGUAAAUAUUAUUUUAUCCGUAUAUAAUACAUUCGUUGUUGGAGGAAGACAUAUUUUUACCAUAAUUUCUUAAAAAAAUAAAUCACUCAAUAAAGUGUUUCCUCCCAAGUCGUAAGAAAAUAAUCAAGCUAUAGAUGCGCUACGAAAUUAAUGUUUUGUAAAAUGAAAUAUAUAAAUAGGAAGAACUUGUAAAAAAAAAAAAUAGAGAUAAACAAUGAAGAAAAUAACCAUUAGUUAAAAUUCGUGAAAUGAGAAUAUCUGAGUAUAAAAUUACAACUAAUCUGAAGGAAUCUGCUAAACAACCUAAUCUUCUAUCAUUUUCAUUUGAUAUUUAAAUUAUUGACUGCUGAAACAAAACUCAUAAAAGAUAAAAUCUGCAACAACAAUAGAACUCUAUCUAAAACUUAUUCAAAAUUCAAAUAAGGCAGGUCUCAUAUCUUUAGCUAGACAAGAAGAUAUACUAUGAGGGCACUACUGACCCCGACCCUAUCACGUGCAUGCAUAUGAACUAUUAUCUACAAGUUGUCCCCACUGCCCAAGAACGAGAGCAAGUGCCAAAUGGCUCCAGCCCCAAACCACAGCGAGCAACACAAAACCAGUCCCCCAUGCCACUAGCUGUAUAUAUGCAGAUUACAAAAAGAGACGUGCACCACAUACAGAACAAAUUGAUGAAAAGUAUAAUAUAGUAUAUUUAUGAAUCACGAUUAAAAUAAAUUUCUAACAAUUACUUGAUUUUAAAAGCUUUUAUAGUUUUAAUUUCCAAAGGUUAUUAGUUUUAUUAAUAGUUUUUUAUACUCGUAUUAUAUUACAAAUAUAAUAAUGACUAAAUUAAGGUUAAUAUAUAUACCUCCUGAAUAUAUUUUGUAAAAAUACACAAACUUUCUCUAUUUUUUUAUUAUAAAAAAAUAAGGUUGCCAAGCCAUUGUUCAAAUCAAAGGGCGAUCCAAUAGUAGGUGAGAACUAAAAUAAAUUUUUAUUUUUUUUAUUUUAAAUGAAGAAUAAUACGUCGUAUUUUUUAAAUAAAUAUGGUCUUUUUAUUUUAUAAUAGCUAAUAAAAAAUUUAUAGAACUAAAUUUUACUUGUUUUAUUGUUGUUUUCACUCUCAUUCAAAGGAGUAAAAGAAUGAACUUGUCCCCGAUCCGAUAACCACACCCCACGCAGCGUAGUAAAUUUUCUUCAUCAAAAUUAUCUAUGUAAAACUCCAGCAGCAACUGGAAAAAGAUUUCGAUUUCUUUAGUUUCAGUACACCAAAGCACUCUCCAUGCGUGAAGUGAAACUAGAUGGUAUAUUCUGAAAGUGAUCCCGUGGAGAAUUUGGAAGAACAGAGAGGGUAUUCAGACAAAUUAUAGAAGCCACCGAUGAAUCAAUGAGUAGAAUAUGCUUCUUCUUUGAAGAUUAACUAUCCCCACCACGCCUGAAGGACUUAAAAGCUUCUAAAAUAAAUUUAAGAAUGAAUUUUUUUUAUUUAUUUAUAAAACUUAGUGUUCUUAUUUAUCAUUUAAAAAUGACACAUUUUAUUUUAUAAUAAUUUUUUUAAAGUAUAUUAGUACUAAAAAAUAUUUUAAUUUUUUUUUAAAACCUAAAGCCUUUCCUUGAGCUCCUUAGACCUUAAGCCGGUCCUUAUUAUCCCUGGGUGGGCAACUUGUUAAUGAUGAAUUGAAGACCCUUCAAACCUGUGUGCUACCUUAAGUAGGAGUGGAAUAUCAAUUGUUUCCACACUAGGGACAAAACUUCAUCAAACUCAUGAACUUACUCAGUCCCUUCCAGCGUGGAAUUCGCAACAACGACCCUCAGUCAUCUUCCUCUAUAUAUUACUACUCAGCUCUUAUACAUAGACCCACACAGUUAUACAACUCUAGAGAAUCAAGAAAAUUAUUUUAUAUAAAAAUAAUAUAUAUAUAUAUAUAUAUAUAUAUAUAUAUAUAUAUAUAUAUAUAUAUAUAUAUAUAUAUAUAACAUAUAAAUUAAAUAUUUUAACAAUAUAAUAAAGUAAAAUAGUAAAUUAUAAACUAUAAAAUACUUCAACAAUUAAGUUUAAUAAUACAUUAUUAGUGAAUAAUAACCUAUUGAUCUUAUAAUAAUGAUAAAUUAUGCUCAUCUCAAAUUUGUUGUUAUCAGAAAAUAAAACAUAUUUACUCAAAUUUGUUGUUAUUAGAAAACAAAACAUAUGUUAAAUAGUAAAUAUACAUAAAAUAAUCCAAAUAACUUACUGAUGUUGUUAUGAAUCAUUAUGAAUGAAAAAUGUGAAUGUUAUCUUUUAUCUUCUUAGCUUUAAUGAUAGUUUUAUGUAGUUUUAUAGUAACCUAACUUUUAACAUUCUUGCAAUUGAGAAAUAAUAAUGUAUAGAGGAAAUGAGGCUUAACUUGCGAACAAUAUAUAUUUAAAUACAAUAAAGUAUAAUCAGCAUUUGUGGUAUAAAUCUAGUUGGAAUCGCUUCUGUUUUCGUCAUGCAGUGGCAUACCUUUGGGCCUUCUAAUAAAAUGGUAAAUAUUAUUUUAUCCGUAUAUAAUACAUUCGUUGUUGGAGGAAGACAUAUUUUUACCAUAAUUUCUUAAAAACAAUAAAUCACUCAAUAAAGUGUUUCCUCCCAAGUCGCAAGAAUCAAGCUCUAGAUGCGCUAGGAAAUGUUUUGUAAAAUGAAAUAUAUAAAUAGGAAGAACUUGUAAAAAAAUAGAGAUAAACAAUGAAGAAAAUAGCCAUUAAAAUUCAUAAAAUGAGAAUAUCUAAGUAUAAGAUUACAACGAAUCUGGAUGAAUCUGCUAACAACCUAAUCUUCUAUCAUUUUCAUUUGAUAUUUAAAAUAAUUAACUGCUAAAACAAAACUCAUAAAAGAUAAAAUCUGCAACAAUAAUUGAACUCUAUCUAAAACUUAUUCUAAAUUCAAAAUUCAAGUAAGGCAAGUCUCAUAUCUUUAGCGAGAGAAAAGAAAAUACUAUCACGCCAAUACUGACCCCGACCCUAUCAGAUGCAUGAACUUUUAUGGAAAGUUGUCCCCACUCCCCAAACCCAAAACCGCAGCCAGCAACACAAAACCAGUCCCCCAUGCAAUAGCUGUAUAUAUGCAGAUUACAAAAUUAAAAGAGACACCACAGAACAAAUGAAUGAAAAGUAUAAUAGUAUAUUUAUGAACGAAGAUGAAAAUAAAUUUCUAACAAUUAAUUAAUUUUAAAAGCUUUCAUAGUUUUAAUUUGCAAAUGCUAUUAGUUUUAUUAAUAGUAUAUAGAUACUUGUAUUAUAUUACAAAUAUAAUAAUGAAAAAAUUAAGGUUAAUAUGCCUCCUAGAAUAUAUUUUGUAAAAAUACACAAACUUUCCAAAUUUUAUUUUUUAUUUUAAAUGAAAAAUAGUAUGUCGUAUUUUUUAAAUAAAUAUGAUUUUUUUAUUUUAUAAUAGCUAAUAAAAAAAAUUUGGAGAACUAAAAUUUAAAUUUUAGUUAUUUUAUUGUUGUUUUCACUCUCAUUUAAAGGAGUAAAAGAAUGAACUUGUCCCCGAUAACCACGCUACACAGCCUAGUAAAUUUUCUACACCAAAAUGAUCUAUGUAAAACUCCAGCAGCAGCUGGAAAAUACUCCGAUUCCUCUAGUUCCAGGUACACCAAAACACUCUCCAUGCGUGAAGUGAAACUAGAUGGUAUUUGCUGAAAGUGAUCCCGUGGAGAAUUUGGCAGAACAGAGAGGGUAUUCAGACAAAUUAUAGAAACCACCGAUGAAUCAGUGAGUAGAAUAUGCUUCUUCCUUGAAGAUUAACUAUCCCUAGUGGGCAACUUGUUAAUGAUGAAUUGAAGACCCUUCAAACCGUGUGUGCUACCUUAGGUAGGCGUGGAAUAUCAAUUAUUUCCACACUAGGAACAAAACUUCAUUAAACUAAUGAACUUACUCAGUCCCUUCUAGCGUGGAAUUCGCAACAACGACCCUCAGUCAUCUUCCUCUAUAUAUUACUCCUCAGCUCUUAUAUUUAGACGCACACAGUUAUACAGCUCAAGAGAAUUAUCAUACCCUUUAAGAUGAAACCGUACCUACGUCCAAUAUUCCUAUUAUUCCUUAUCCUUCUCGACCAAUCCACUUCGGCGAGUGCUUCUAAGAGUAGGUUUAUAGAAUUCUUUUCAAAAUUAAAGAAUUCUUUUAAUCCUAAGUCUGAAGAACUCAAAUCAAAAGAUAUAAAGAAGCUCCCGAGCGUCGAAUUUUUGAAGAAGAAACAUGACGGAGUUAAGGACUUCUCUCAAGAAGCUAACCUGAAAAUACCAACCUGGAUAGGAAGAAUAAUACGAAACCGGAAAGGAAAGCCGUCCCAGAAACCAAAGCACCCUCCCCCACCGCCAGACUACCGUGUACAACUAAAGUCCGAUCCCCCAGCGCCAAACGCACCACCGAAGCAAAUCAAUAUUAAGGGCCUGUCCGUCGUCAAAGAUUACUUAUCUGACUACGGCUACAUUGAAUCCUCUGGGCCAUUUACCGAUUCUUUCGACCAGGAAAUAAUAUCAGCCAUUAAGACCUACCAGAAUUUUUCCAAUCUUCAAGUUACCGGCGGCCUGAACAAACAGCUUAUUCAGCAAAUGUUGUCCAUACGAUGCGGUGUCCCCGACGUUAACUUCGACUACAACUUCACCGACGACAACAUUUCCUAUCCCAAAGCCGGACACCGCUGGUUCCCAAACAGAAACCUCACAUACGGUUUUCUUCCCGAAAACCAAAUCCCAGACAACAUGACUAAGGUGUUCAGAGAUUCCUUUGCGAGGUGGGCCCAAGCCUCGGGGACUUUGAGUCUCAGGGAGACAACCUACGACAACGCCGACAUCCAGGUAGGGUUCUACAACUUCACUAACUCGAGGAUUGAAGUGUAUGGUGGCAGCACUAUAUUUUUGCAACCGGAUUCUAGUAAGAAAGGGGUGGUACUUCUGGACGGUAACAUGGGCUGGUUACUUCCAAGUGAAAACGCCACACUGUCUAAAGAUGAUGGAGUUUUGGACUUGGAGACUGUGGCGAUGCACCAGAUAGGGCAUCUACUUGGACUUGAUCACUCUCACAAAGAGGACUCUGUUAUGUAUCCUUACAUAUUGUCAUCACAGUCAGAGCAACGAAAGGUGCAGCUUUCCAAUUCUGACAAGGCCAACAUUCACCUUCAGUUUGCUAAGCAUGAUUAGGAUGUGACUUCUCUGCUGCCAAACUCGCAUGACUCAGCAAGCCACGGUGGGGGUUUGGAUGUGCUUUUAGUUACCACUUUCUCUCUUGGAUUUGCUUACGUAUUGCUCCUUUUGUAUUAGUCGUUCCUGUCCCACCUUGCUUUUGGAAUUAUGAGCUUUUUAUAUUUCUGAUUGUUCAAUGUUUAUUGUAUGUGCUCCCCAACCUGUGGUGACUUUUCGGUUUAUUCUCACGUGGCUGUUUCUUAUAGGCCUUUCGACCUCCAAUAUUAAAUAAAAGAUCAUUUUGAGCUUUCUAAUUUUAAUUAUUUUUUAUUUAUAUCUCUUCUAAUAUUAAUAAUAAAUAAUACAAUAUAUAAAUAAAUAAAUGAUUAUAUACAAUUAAUCUUUUAGGAUGAUUAUUAUUUAAAAAUAGAAAAAUAAUAUAUAUUUAUAUAAUGUUAUGAGAGGUCUUUAGUUAUAUGCAGAAUGCACCGUUGGCCACUUAGGAGUUGGGAUUUCAGUAAUUAUUCUUGUGGUGGGUAAAGCUAUAAACUCGGUUUUGUGUAAGUUCCUUUCCUUUCUUGAGGAGUCUAUGGUGGGAAAGAGAAACACCUUUUCCACUGUAAGAAAGUUUUUUAAAACUGGUAUAUUACUUUAGUUUUAAUCUAAUGGCUCAUUUUUUUUUCUUUUUCUCCUUGUAUCUUUUAUUGCUUUUCUUCUUAUCUUUCCUUAUUUGUUCCUUCUCUUUUUUUUCUCCUUCUAUCCAAUCACAAAAUUUUAAAAAUAAAUAUUUUUAAUUAAAAUAUUUAAAAUUCUAAAAAUUCAAAUUUUCUCAGAAUUUUACAUUCGAUCUUUAUCUAAAUACACAAUUAAUCACAUUUAAUUGGAUCAUUAAGGAAUGAUUGCGGCGUUAUGUUUUUUCUUUUGUGUUUCUGUGUGAGUCAUUUGAGCGGUGCUGGAAAUAAGGAAGUAAGAUUUUUUACAUGAGCCUAAGUGCACUCUAGAAACAAUUAUAAAAAGAGAGCAAUCCAUUUCGACGAACUCCCUAAAAGCAUCAUGUCAAAGCCAUAGAAUCAAGGAGCAUCCCAUAAAUAAAAAUAAAUAAAAUCACCAUAUUCAUGCACAAUUACACAUAAAAAUUAAUAAAAUUUUGUCUGUCCCGACAUCCGUACACAAGAUAACGAAGAAAAAUCCGGUUGAAGUCUACCAUAAACCCAAGUCCUUCACACCAAAUCAUAUUGCAUUAAAUCAGGAGUUUCAACUUUCAAGCUAUUAAUCCAAUCAAGAUUUUAUAUUCCUUUUUUUUUAAUAUUCAACUUGAGCUAUCUAUCUCCAUUAUUAAAUCUAUAAUAUUUUGAAAAUGAAAAUUCAUCAUUCCUAUAGAACACAAAAUAAUACAGAUAGUCACGUGUAAGGUAUUACACAAAACUGAUAUUCAAACUAUAUAAUAAAAAGAGGAUCGAAUGACAAUAAUGAGAGUGAUUAAAAAAAUAUACAAAUUCAAGGUCAUGACAACUCUGAUUCUGUGAAUAGGAAAGCCCAAAUGAAUGAAAAAUAAAAGACACUCAUUACCUGACGCUUAUAUGCUAGAAAUACUUUUCCUUAGGUCGUAUCAUGCAUGUGCCAACUAAUUCUGCUAGAAAUACGCUUAGUUUUAAAUAUUGUAUCAUCUACCAUAUAAAUCAUUAUAAAUGAAUCUAGAUUCAUGUACUCAUCCCUAUAAAACAAUAAUAUUUUUAACAGAAAAUAAAAAAAAUUAAAAUGAAACUAUUAAAGAUUAAAAUAAAAUUUUUGAAAUUUAAUAUACUAAAUCAGAAAAAAAAAAAUAUAAACGAUGAAAAUAAUUUUUUAAAAACUUAAUAUUCCUAAAAAUAAAAUUAAAAAAAUACAAAGAACCAAAAGUAAUAUAUAUCCGGAGGCCUAUAAAUGCCAAAAACAAUCACACAACUAAAACGAAAAGGCAUCGUAUGGAUGGGGCAACACAUUGAACAACUAAUGAUGCUCCAAAUUAAAUGAGUAAAUUUAUAAAUGUAUAAUCCUUUUUUGUGUGGAUUGGGUGAGGAAAUUAAGAGAGAUGUGAUAUCAUAAGAAAUAUAGAUAUUAAAAAAUAUAAGAUGAAAGAGUAUGAGUUCUAAGUAGGAUGUAUGUUUAUAAUAAUAAAAUCCAUAACAUCCAAGCUUGAGUGAAACAUAAGACUUGGACUUGGUGUAUAUUUAAUUUAAAUUAAAGUUGACGAUUUUAAUAUUAUAGUAGUUUUAUUGUAUAAGUUCAAGAAGGACUUUGGUCUUGCUUUUUUUGGAAAUUUGAUUUCGAAUAUAAGUGUGUAAACAUACUCUUAAAGAUAACUAAAUAUAUCAUAUGAAAUAAAAAUGAGUUUAUGCUCCAAACCGAGUUUGAAACACCAAAAUAAAAUCCAAACAUGUUGAUAUCGAUGUUCUUAAUAGUCUAAUGCAAAAGAAGCAAAUCCAAGACACAAAAUGAUAACUAAAAGCAUUCCCCAAAGCCCACCAUGGCAAAAGUUGCCAUUAGUAUAAUGUUGGAGCAUGUUGUGCUGAUUAGAAAUCGAAAGCUCCACCUUUGGUUUCUUUGAUGACAAUAUAUAAGAGUACCGUUGAGGUAGGUGACGUUGUAGUAGAAAUUCAUGUCGGGGACAACACAUCGUGGUAGCACCUACUGAUGGGGUGACAACACAGCUUUAGCAGGACAAUUAAAGAAUAGUCGAUGAAGAACAAUUAAAUAAAAAACAAAAAAGAAUCACCAAUUCGAAACAAAUAGUAUAGCACUGCACUACUAACUGACCCCAUCAACUGCAAGUGGCAAAUUACUCCAAGCCCAAAACGCAGCGAGCAAAACAAAACCGCCAGUCCCCUGCUAGCUAUAUAUAUAUGCAGUUUACAAAAAGAGACACCACAAAUCAUCAACAAAUGGAUGAAUAGUAUAAUAGUAUAUUUAUGAAUCACGAUUAAAAUAUAUUUCUAUUAAUUAAUUAAUUUUAAAACUCUCACAAAUAAAGAAAGAUAUGUUAUUUUAAUUAUAUUUAUAUCAAGAUUAUUAAACUCAAGUGAUAAAAUUUCAUAAGAGUAUAUUUUAUAUAAAAAUAAUAUAUAUAUAUAUAUAUAAUAUUCUAAUUAAAUAUUUCAAUAAUAUAAUAAAACAAAAUACUAAAUUAUAAAUUUAAAAAUACUAAAAUAAUUAAAUCUAAUAAUAUAUUAUUAUAGGAUGAUAACUUACUGAUAUUAUAGUAAUGAUAGAUCAUUCUUAUCUUAAAUUUAAUAUAUGUUAAACUAUAAUAAACAUAAAAUAAUCUAAAUGAUUAAUUGUUGUUAUUAUGAAUCAUUUUCAAUGAAAAAUAUGAAUGAUAUCUUUUAUCUUCUUAGCUUUAAUGGUAGUUUUAUGUAGUUCUAGAAUAACCUAACUUUUAACCCUCUUACAAUUGAAAAAUAGUAAUAUAUAGAGGAAAUGAGGCUUAACUUGCGAACAAUAUAUAUUUAAAUACAAUAAAGUAUAAUCAGCAUUUGUGGUAUAAAUCUAGUCGGAAUCAUGUUUGUUUUCUUCAUGCAGGGGCAUAUCAUCAUGGUUAUCAAACUCUCAAGUUAACUCGCUAACUCUUACGAGUUUACGAGUCCACUUGUUCUCUGCGAGUUGACUCUUGAGUAAACUCUUUUCUUAGUAGACUCAGUAAACUCUAUAAACUCUAAGUAAACUCGGUAGACUCUCGAGUUUACCACCGAGUCAACGAGUUAGCAAGUUAAAAAAAUUAGACAAAAAUGUAAGUCAUUUUUUAUUGUUUUCUGUCUGUUUAGCAUUCAACAUACCUUUUAACAUGUUAUUCUCAAAUACAAAAUUCUCACCUUUAAUAAUAUCAAACUCUUGUUCUCUAAUAAAAUCAAAUACUCGAUGAGAAUAAUCUACCACUACUAUAACCUCUACAAGUUAUUGUUUAGUGGUGAUGUAUUAUUAUUAGACUUGGUUAUUUAAAUAUUCUGAACUUUAUGAUUUACUGUUUUACUUUAUUAUAUUGUUAAAAUGUUUAAUUAGUAUGUUAUUUAUAGAUAUUUUGUUAUUAUUUUUAUAUGAAAUAGACUCUUACGAGUCUACGAGUUGAAUCUACGAGUCGAGUCUAUAAAACUCUCACGAGUUGCGUAAACUGUCGAGUUUGAUAACCUUGCAUACCAUUAGGCCUUCUAAUAAAAUGGUAAAUAUUAUUUUAUCCGUAUAUAAUACAUUCGUUGUUGGAGGAAGACAUAUUUUUACCAUAAUUUCUUAAAAAAAUGAAUGACUCAAUAAAGUGUUUCCUCCCAAGUCGUAGUAAGAAUAUAAUCAAGCUAUAGAUGCGCUACGAAAUGUUUUGUAAAAUGAAAUAUAUAAAUAGGAAGAACUUGUAAAAAAAAAAAAUAGAGAUAAACAAUGAAGAAAAUAACCAUUAGUAAAAAUUCGUGAAAUGAGAAUAUCUGAGUAUAAAAUUACAACUAAUCUGAACGAAUCUGCUAAACAACCUAAUCUUCUAUCAUUUUCAUUUGAUGUUUAAAUUAUUGACUGCUUAAACAAAACUCAUAAAAGAUAAAAUCUGCAACAAUAAUAGAACUCUAUCUAAAACUUAUUCAAAAUUCAAAUAAGGCAGGUCUCAUAUCUUUAGCUAGACAAGAAGAUAUACUAUGAGGGCACUACUGACCCCGACCCUAUCACGUGCAUGCAUAUGAACUAUUAUCUACAAGUUGUCCCCACUGCCCAAGAACGAGAGCAAGUGCCAAAUGGCUCCAGCCCCAAACCACAGCGAGCAACACAAAACCAGUCCCCCAUGCCACUAGCUGUAUAUAUGCAGAUUACAAAAAGAGACGUGCACCACAUACAGAACAAAUUGAUGAAAAGUAUAAUAUAGUAUAUUUAUGAAUCACGAUUAAAAUAAAUUUCUAACAAUUACUUGAUUUUAAAAGCUUUUAUAGUUUUAAUUUCCAAAGGCUAUUAGUUUUAUUAAUAGUUUUUUUAUACUUGUAUUAUAUUACAAAUAUAAUAAUGAAUAAAUUAAGGUUAAUAUAUAUACCUCCUGAAUAUAUUUUGUAAAAAUACACAAACUUUCUCUAUUUUUUUUUAUAAAAAAAUCAAGGUUGCCAAGCCAUUCUUCAAAGCAAGGGUGAUCCAAUAGUAGGUGAGAACUAAAAUAAAUUUUAUUUUAUUUAUUUUAAAUGAAAAUUAAUAUGUCAUAUUUUUUAAAUAAAUAUGGUCCUUUUUAUUUUAUAAUAGCUAAUAAUUUUUUUUAUAAGACUAAAAUUUAAAUUUUAGUUAUUUUAUUGUUGUUUUCACUGUCAUAUUUUAGUUAUUUUAUUCUGUGAUUCUUGAGUAAAUUUUUUUCCACAUAGACCGAGUAAAUUCUAUACACUCUAAGUAAACUCGAUAGACUCUUGACCAACUUAGCAACAGUAAGCCUAAAGAAAUUUGCCCGAAAAUUAAGAACACGUAAAUUUGCCCGAAAGACCCGCAUCAAAAAGUUUGCCCGAUGAUGAAGUACGUGUAUCAAAAAAUUUGCCAAAACUAAGGUCCCUUUACUUCAUUCCCCCACCUGCAUAACUCUGCAAGCCACGGUGGGCGUUUGGAUGUGCUUUUAGUUACCACUUUCUCUCUUGGAUUUGCUUACGUAUUGCUCCUUUUGUAUUAGUGGCUCCUGUCCCACCUUGCUUUUGGACUUGUGAGCUUUUUAUAUUUCUGAUUGUUCAAUGUCUAUUGUGUGUGCUCUCCAACCUGUGGUGACUUUUCGGUUUAUUCAUGUGGCUGUUCCUUAUAGGCCUUUCGACCUCCAGUAUUAAAUAAAAGAUCAUCUUGUAGCUUUUUAAUUUUAAUUAUUUUUUAUUUAUAUCUCUUCUAAUAUUAAUAAUAAAUAAAUGAUUAUAUACAAUUAAUCUUUUAGGAUGAUUAUUAUUUUAAAAUAGAAAAAAUAAUAUAUAUUUAUAUAUUGUUAUGAGAGGUCUUUAGUUAUAUGCAUAAUGCACCCUUGGCAACUUGGGAGUUGGGAUUUCAGUAAUUAUUAUUGUGGUGGGUAAAGCUAUAAACUCGGUUUUGUGUAAGUUCCUUUACUUUCUUGAGGAGUCUAAGGUGGGAAAGAGAAACACCUCUUCCAAUGUAAGAAAGUUUUUUAAAACUGGUAUAUUAGUUUAGUUUCAAUCUAAUGCCUCAAUUUUUUUUUUCUUUUCUCCUUGUAUUUUUUAUUCCUUUUCUUCUUAUCUUUGCUUGUUUGCCCCUUCAAUUCUCUUCUUUCUCUCCCAUCUUCUUUCUCUCUCCUUCUAUCCGCCACCAUAGUGCACCGUCACUUGUAGUUGCUUUGGUGGUACUCUACCACAGAAGAAGCAAGUGGAGCCUUGUUUCCAUUACUUUACGGAAAUUCACUUAAUCACAUUCAAUUGGUUCAUUGAGGGAUGUUUUUUCUUUCGUGUUUCUGUGUGAGUCAUUUGAGCGGUGCUGCGAAAGAAGAAAAAACUCCGGCGGGUGCCCACUGGUUGUCUGCGGUGGAGAGAAGGAGUGUUGUGCGGAAGAAAAGAAGAGGGGCAAACAAGGAAAGACUGGAAGAAAGGAAUAAAAGAAAAAAUACGAAAACUAAACCAAGUGUCAAGGGAAACGAAAAGCAUAAUAGCAGGAGUCAAGUUCAAAAAUUAUACAAAGUUUCACAAAGAAGAUCCAUAUAUGUUUCAAAUGCUAGAUUCCUUCGAAUAGAUGGCUAUGGGUGAUAAAUU